AAGGGAACACAAAAACAUCCCCCUUGUUCAGGACUUUGCUAACGAAGCGGUGUUCAGGGUUGGAUGUGAUAAAGCCAACAAAGAGUGUUCCCUCCAAGACAACGAGGAUCUCACUGGCACGAGGGUGAAAGUGAGGAGGGUUUUGACCAUUAGGUUCAUAAUCGAUACGAGCCACUGACACCCCAAGAGCGUUUUCUCCUGGUAAUUGAUCAACAUUUAUAAGAUUGACAAUUGAGCCCACAUAAUUUGAUGUGUUUCCUGGAAUAUUCAGCCCUUGAUACAAGAAAUCCUCGGCCACGGUCAGGUUUGGGUUCUUGCAGAACUUCCCAUUUACAAAUACUGCAUGAAGAAGGAAAAAAGAAAAGAUAUAUCAUUAGUAUCGAACCAUACUCACCAUAUCAAUAAAAAGAGAAGUACUGAAAAUAGCUAUAAGAUCAUUGGUUACUAUAGAAAUACCAGCAUUCUUGGGCUCAUCAACGGCAACACAGGUGUCUUCCAGUGGGCUUGGAUCAUAGGCAGAGGCAAGAAAGGAAGCCAAUGCCAUGAAGGCCACGGUUACCAGGAAACUAACGCUUUUCUUCAUUGUUAGAGUACUGUCUCCAACAAUCACAAUAUUUAUCUUUAGGCGGGGAUAAGAAAUUUAGCAUGGAAAAGAUGUUAAUUUAUAGACCAGAGUCGGUGAGUUAGUCUUUGCAUAAACUCACCAAGUCUUCAAUGGGAAGUUUUUUCUUCUUUCUUUUUUCACUUUCGAGGACAAGCGGUUGCACCAAUACAUGUUGAUUUACGUAGGAUUAGUCAGUAUACAGAUCUUAACCAGAAUAUAAAGCAAUGUACAAUCAGGUGGAGGCAGGUCCAAUUUAAUAUCAAUCUGUAUGAUCCAUACGUUUACAUAUAUAGUAGAGCUUUCUGCUCUUUUAGUAGUGUAUGGACAAGCAAAUAGAAGAUUACAGAGUAGGUGCCAGCUUGGACUAUACAAUGACCCACCCCUAUCAAACAUGGUUACUCCAUGAGACUUGUGUAGGUUCAGUUUAAUGAGUAUUUAUAUAGCUUAAUUCACCAUUCGAAGUGUUGAGAGAUUGGCUGAUGAGAUUGAAUAUGUAGCCAAGUUCUGAGUUUCUAGCUCAUGUGCCUUCCACUGAGUGAAAAGUCCUUGGAUAAGCUCUGGGGUUGCCUCAGUUCAAUGAAAAAUUGGGAUAAAUUCAAAGACUUUCUGCUAUAUGCUCACUAGGCUUUCCUCAGUUACAAAAGCUUUGACUAUGAUUUUUAUGCUUGCAGCCUUCCCUGUCUGAGCGGUUGGCUCAAAAGUUACUACUACAAUUAUUAUGGUUUGUGAGAGAAAGAGAUCUUAACAAACACCUUUAAACUAAGACUUUUUAAUUAGUCGUCUUUAACAAGCAAGUCUGUAUUUUCUGGUGAGAAGCAAGAAACCUUACAUUAGCAAAAUACCAAUUAAUUAGAUGAAGUCCUUCGGCUAAUCUAUGCCCUAUAAGUAAGGUAAUUAAGCAGAUCGAUACACUUUCCAAAUCUUCAAUGGAUGUCAUUUUUCAAAUUGAAAGGUUGAACCAUUCUGAGAAUUUUCAAAUUGGACAGGCCAUCUGUAAUCAGAUUGUGAUUAGUGUCAUGACCCAUUAGAUCUUUAUAAGAAGUUGGGGUUAGAGGUUUGUUCACAGUGGAUGUCAUGAGAUUUCUGGGCUUUCAUUUCCAUUCUUUCCUCACUAUUUCAUGACACUGAUGCUUCUCCCACCAUUCAUAUGGUUUGACUCGGACAUCUUAAUUAGUUUUUUCGAUCUCAGUUGAUGGGGGCCGGUUAUACUGGGAUAAUCUAGAGAAGCAAAUUAAUGGCAUCUUUCCAUUAUUGGAUUAUAUGAGGUUGUUGGCCAUGGUUCAAAGUCAUGGUAUCGGACACCAACUCGGUAAGUCUUGAGGCACAUGGGUCUCAACGUCGCAGAUCAAUAUCGGGUGAUACACAAAAAAUUAUAGUUUAAAAGCCCAAAACAAUUUAAAAAGAUUACAAAAAUAAAUACAAAUAAAUGAAGUUAAAAAUUAAUAAAAUAAACUUUUAUUAUAUAUAAAAUUAUUCAAAUUAUGAUAAAAACAUACCUUCGUAAUGAUUUAUAAAAAUAUAAAAAAAUUAAUUUAAUCACUUAAUAUUAAAUAUGCAUUAUUAAAGAUGAAAAUAAUAAAAAGUGAAUUUAUUGUUUAUAAUUUUUUUUAAAUUAAAUAUUUUAAAUUUUUAAAAAAUAUUUUCAAUAUUUUAAAAAAUACAUCUAGGAAUCAUCUUUGAAAAAAGUAAACAUCAUUUUUCUUAUCAAAUAUAUACUAAAUGAAACAAUUAUAAAAAUGGAGAAUUUUUAUUUGAAUGAGCAUAUUUGAAUAUAAUAUAUUUUUUCUAUACAUCUAUUCAUUUUAAUUGACUUUUUAUAUUAAUAUUUAUUUUCUAUUUUAUUUAUGUAAACCUAAAUAUUCAUUAUUAAUUUACCAUUAUCCUAAACCCAUCAAAUUUUCAUUAUCCAUUUAAAUACAAUUAUUCACCACAUAUUCAUUAACUACUUAUUUGUAAUCCUAUCAAAUACCCAUAAACCAUUCACCUCGCAAACACGUAUUUCCUUUUUUUGCACAAUACCCAUUUCCCCUCUAAAACAACACUUUGAGCUCUCUACUUCUUUGCACAAUACCUAUAUUUGAAGGCUAAAAAAAUAACCCCAUGAAGAUACAAGAGGAUGGAGAUGCAAAUAGAAGGAUGAAGAUGCACAAGGUUUGAAGACUCUAAACUCUCCAUACUUCUUCACUUUCAUGAGUUUUGAUUAUCUUCUCUUAUCCACCAUUUCUGCUCCAAUAUUACUAUUUUUUUUCCAUCACCCAUCACCCAUCACCCAAAGAGAUUAGUUUGAAUAUAAUAUUAGGGUUAUCUCAAAGUUUCUUUGUGAUUUAACAAGUUUAUUCAUGAGUCAACCAAAUAUUGGACUCAGGAAUCAGUCCAAUACGGUUCAUGAGCUCUUUAUUUAUUUGUACAAUACCCAUUUUUGAAGGCUCACAACACAACCCUACAAAGAUACAAGAUGAUGAAGAUGCAAAUACAAGGAUGAAAUGCAAAGGGUUUGAAGACUCUGAACUAUUUAUAUUUUUUCACUUUCAUGGGUUUCGAUCUUCUUCUCUCAUCCACCAUUUUCGCUACAAUAUUACUAUUUUUUUCCAUUACCCAUCACUCGAAAAGCUUAGUUUGGACACAAUCUUUAGGUUAUCUCAAAGUUUCCAUGCGAUUCAACAAGUUUAUUUCAUUAGAUAACCAAAUAUUGGACUCAGAUAUCAAUUCGAUACCGGUCAUGGCCAAGACGGAUGUAACUCAGUCGAGUCAAACUAGUCUUGACUAAGAUUUUGAACCCCAUUUGAGCUCUCUAUUUCUUUGCAUGUACAAUGCCCAUUUUUGAAGGCUCACAAAAUAGCCCUAUGAAGAUACAAGAGAAUGGGGAUGAAAAGGGUUUGAAGACUCUGAACUCUUCAUACUUCUUCGCUUUCAUGGGUUUCGAUCUUUUUCUCUCAUCUACCAUUUCUACUCCAAUAUUACCAUUUUUUUUCCAUCAUCUACCACCUGAAGAGCUUAGUUUGGAGAUAAUCUUGGGGUUAGCUCAAAGUUUCUUUGUGAUUUAACAAGUUUAUUCAUGAGUCAACCAAAUGUUGGACUUAGGUAUUGGUUCGACACCAAUCAUGGCUAAGGCGGAUAUGACUGAGUUGAGUCGUACAAGUCUCGAUCAAGAUUAUGAGCCCUGUUUGAGCUCUCUAUUUCUCUACACAAUACCCAUUUUUGAAGACUCACAAAAUAGCCUUAUGAAGAUACAAGAUAAUGGAAAUGCAAAUAUAGGUGUAGGACCUCAGGCGCUACCAACUCUCCUAAAAGCAAUUGCUGUUAGGAAAGACGCAUACCCUAACCUUAUAGUGCAUUCACCCAAGCGCCCAUGGAGAACACAAGGGGAGUUUAUGGAUACGACCAACCUUCCGAUCUAUCAGCAAUCUCCCAUACCACUUGUAGGACCUCAGACGCUACUAACUCUCCUAAAAGCAAUUGCUGUUAGGAAAGACGCAUACCCUAACCUUAUAGUGCAUUCACCUAAGUUCCCACGACAAACAUAAGAAGAGUUGAUGGACGCGGCCAACCCUCUGAUCUGCCAACAAUAGGGAUGAAAAUCCAAAGGGUUUGAAGACUCUGAACUUUCCAUAUUUCUACACUUUCAUGGGUUUCGAUCUUCUUCUCUCAUCCACCAUUUUCACUCCAAUAUUACCAUUUUUUUUUCUAUCAACCAUCACCCAAAGAGCUUAGUUUGGACAUAUUCUUAAGGUUAUCUCAAAGUUUCUUUGUGAUUUAGCAAGUCUAUUCAUGAGUCAACUAAAUAUUAGACUUGAGUAUCGAUCUAGUACUGGUCAUGGCCAAGGCAAAUAUGACUCGGUCGUGUCAUACCAAUCUAGAUCAAGAUUUUGAACCUUAUUUGAGCUCUCUAUUUCUUUGUACAAUACCCAUUUUUAAAGGCUCACAAAAUAACCCUAUGAAGAUACAAGAGGAUAAAGAUGCAAAUAUAGGGAUGAAGAUGCAAAAGGUUUGAAGACUCUGAACUCUCCAUAUUUCUUUGCUUUCAUGAGUUUAACUCUUCUUCUCUCAUCAACCAUUUUUGCUCCAAUGUUACCAUUUUUUUCACCAACCAUCACCCGAAGAGCUUAGCUUGGACAUAAUCUUUAGGUUAUCUCAAAGUUUCUUUGUGAUUUAGCAAGUUUGUUCAUGAGUCAACCAAAUAUUGGAUUUAGGUAUCAGUCUGAUACCGAUCAUGGUUGAGGUAGAUAUGACUCGGCUGAGUCUUACCGAUUUCGACCAAGAUUUUGAACCCUGUUUGAGCUCUGUAUUUCUUUGCACAAUACUAAUUUUUGAAGGCUUAUAAAAUAACCUUACGAAGAUACAAGAUGAUGGAAAUACAAAUACAAGGAUGAAGAUGCAAAGGGUUUGAAGAGUUUGAACUCUCCAUACUUCUUGAUUCGUUCCCAAUUGGUGUCUCAGCUGAUUCAUGUCCAGCUGGUGCUCUUUGAUUGAGAGAGUAAUCAACAAAAUUUAUAACCUAUAUCACUAUGCAUUAGGAUAGCUUUAGCUAAUAUAGCAUAGUGGCUCUAGGAUCGUUCACUGGGAAGGGUUUUCAACUCACAACUGAUACCAAUUCAAAGUUAAAUUGGUACUUUUUCAUUUCAAGGUUAGCUUAAGAAAAAAACACAAACUUUGUUUAAAUGAGGUUUUGUUUAAAGGUAACUAAAAAGAAAGUAAUGGAAAUUACUUAUGAAGAAAAACAUUCCUUGGAGGUUUAGGUUCACAGGGGAGGUUUCUUAUGCAAAAACAGAGCUCCGGUCAUUUGGUUCAUUUCCUCGCAUUAGAGAAUUAACAUAUAGUCAAUUCUCUAACCGGUGCUGCACAGAUGUAUCCUUUAAAUGGAUUUCAACUCUAAUUCCCUCUCACUGAUGCAACUUGCAAUGGCUCGUGCCUCUCACCUAGCAUUUUCCAUUCAAUGUGAUCUUUAACUUUGGACUUCUCUUCUCAAGCUCGCAAGAGAUAACUAACGGAUGUCUCCUUGGAGUCCAAAAGCUUACCAAGUGUUGGCAAUUCUAGAAAAUCCUACCUCCAAGUCACUUCCCAAAAGCCCGCAAGAGAUAAACAAGUGCAUCUCCAUGGACGGAGAUCACGUGCCUUACCAAGUGUUGGCUUAAGUGAAUUGAAGGUAUUUUAAGUUAACUAAAAACAUAUAAAUCAUUAAAGGAUCACACUUUCUCUUCAUUAAUGACUGAAACCACAAAGCUACUAAUUCUUGCACUUGGAACCUUUCCCGGCAACCUUAACUCCAAGGAACUAAAAGUCUAGCCACUCAUUCUAUGAGGAAACUUCCUCAGAGCUUGUUUGGCUAGUAAGAAAACUAACGAGAAAACAAUUAUAUGAAGGAAAAACAGAGCAAGUGCUCUAUAAAAUAUAUUUCUUUUUUCUGCCGAUUACAUAAUAUAUCUUUGUAAAGAAAAUUACAAACUAUAUAUAUGAGGUUAUUCACCCUUUGUACUUACUUAAAGACUAAGGAAUCCUAUGAUAGGUGGGUUACAAGGAGACUUUGGGAGGUGGGUUACAAGGAGACUUUGGGGAUUUAGACAACAAAUAUUUAAAGCAAAAUAUCUCAGGAUGUCGGUCGGAAAUAUCAAGAAGCUUCAGGAGAACACCGUGGCACUGUAUACUGAGAGAAAAACUCUCCUGGUAAGCGCUAUCAGAGGAUCCGGAUAAGUUUGACCGGAGAAGUUGAAACGUCCUCCUCUCCCAUCCGGCUGCGAGAUAUCCAGAUGUAAAAUGUCGGCGCACAGAAUUCCGGAUGUGAAAUGUCGACGCACGGAAUUCCUCCCCUGGUGGACUAAGCUAUGUUGCGCAAGGGGGACCGUCUGCGUGUGCAAGGUGUAGGGACCCCUCUCCCGGAUGACACGGAAUGCGCAAGGCUAUCCGGAUCAACUCCAUCCGGAUUCCCCAAGAGGACAUGUGGCGUGCUCCCCUAUUCAGACUCCCUCAGGUUGAAGCACACAGCACUCGUGAUCAUCACACCCGGACGAUAGCAUAUCCUAUCCGGAUAUGUUGUCCGGAUCAUUGACUUCCGCCGUCAUCCGAUGGUGUGUCCGGACAUCUUUUACUCCUUGCAUUCCAGAUUUGCUUAUGGAAAAGAACCUCAAAGCUUUGGUUCUUCAUAUUUCUGAGCUUUCCAUUGCUUUGCCAUGGAUUCCAAAGAACUCUCCUCAAUCACGGAUUGCUUUGGUGAUAAAAAAGCUAUCAAAACACCAAAACUUAACACAAUUUGAUUAGAAUUGAUUGCAAGGGUCCUUAAUAUGUUAAUUGGGUUAAAAUGUGAUAACUACUACUCAAAAGUGUUUAAAAGAGUUUAUUACAAGCUAUCAAAUAGCACUUUUUGAGUAGUAAUCACUUCUUCACUACCAUGGGUUUCGAUCUUCUUCUCUCAUCCACCAUUUUCCCUCCAAUAUUACCAUUUUUUUUCCAUCACCCAUUACCCGAAGAGCUUAGUUUGGACAUAAUCUUAGGGUUAUCUCAAAGUUUCUUUGUGAUUUAACAAGUUUAUUCAUGAGUCAACUAAAUAUUGGACUUGGGUAUCGGUUCGAUAAUAGUCAUGGCCUAAGAUUUUGAACCCUUUUUUAGCUCUCUAUUUCUCUGCGCAAUACCCAUUUUUGAAGGCUCACAAAAUAACCCUACAAAGAUAUAAGAUGAUAGAGAUGCAAAUACAGGGAUGAAGAUGCAAAGCGUUUGAAGACUCUGAACUCUCCAUACUUCUUCACUUUCAUAGGUUUCGAUUUUCUUCUCUCAUCCGUCAUUUUAGCUCCAAUAUUACCAUUUUUUUGCAUGACCUAUCACUCGAAGAGCUUAUUUUGGACAUAAUCUUAGGGUUAUCUCAAUUUUUUAUUUUAUUUUUGUGAUUCAACUAGUUUAUUCAUGAGUUAACCAAAUAUUAAACUCGGGUAUUGGUCUAGUACCGGUCAUGGUUGAGGCGGAUAUUACUCGGCCGAGUCGUUUUGAUCUCAACUGAGAUUUUGAACCCCAUUUAAGUUCUUUAAUUCUUUUCACAAUACCCAUUUUUGAAGGCUCACAAAAUAACCCUACGAAGAUACAAUAUGAUGAAGAUGCAAAUAUAGGGACGGAGAUGCAAAUGGUUUAAAGACUUUGAGCCCUCCAUAUUUUUUCACUCUCAUGGGCUUCGAUUUUCUUCUCUCAUCCACCAUAUACGCUCCAAUAUUACCAUUUUUUCCAUUACGCAUCACCCGAAAAGCUUAGUUUGGACAUAAUCUUAGGGUUAUCUCCAAGUUUCUUUUUUAUUCAACAGGUUUAUUCAUGAGUCAACCAAAUAUUGGACUUGGGUAUUAGUUCGGUAUUGGUCAUGGCCGAGGUGGAUAUGACUUGGCCGAGUCGUACCGGUCUUAAUUGAGAUUUUGAACCCUAACUGAACUCUCCAUUUAUUUGCACAAUACCCAUUUUUUUAAGGCUAACAGAAUAAGCCUACGAAGAUACAAGAGGAUUGAGAUGCAAAUAUAGGAAUGAAGAUGAAAAGGGUUUGAAGACUCUUAACUCUUUAUACUUUUUCACUUUCAUGGGUUUCAAUCUUCUUCUCUCAUCCACCAUUUUUGCUCCAAUAUUACCAUUUUUUUCCAUUACCCAUCACCCAAAAAGCUUAGUUUGGACAUAAUCUUAGAGUUAUCUCAAAGUUUCUUUUUUAUUGAACAAGUUUAUUCAUGAGUUAACCAAAUAUUGGACUCGGGUAUCGAUCCAAUACCGAUCAUGGCUGAAGCGGAUAUGACUCGAUCAAGUCGUACGAGUCUCAAUCGAGAUUAUGAACCCUAUGUGAGCUCUUUAGUACUCUACACAAUACCCAUUUUUGAAGUCUCACAAAAUAGUCCUACAAAGAUGCAAGAGGAUAGAGAUGCAAAUAAAUGGAUGGAAAUCCAAAGGGUUUGAAGACUCUGAACUCUCCAUAUUUCUUCACUUUCAUGGGUUUCGAUAUUUUUCUCUUAUCCACCAUUUCCACUUCGAUAUUACUAUUUUUUUCCAUCACCCAUCACCCUAAGAGCUUAGUUUGGACAUAAUAUUAGGGUUAUCUCAAAUUUUCUUUGUGAUUCAACAAGUUUAUUCAUAACUCAACCAAAUAUUGAACUCGAGUAUCGGUCCGAUAUCGGUCAUGGUGGAGGUAGAUAUGAGAACAACCAAAUAUUCAAUUUUUUUUUAAAUUUAUAAUGUGCAUUUACUACAAAGCAAUCUUUAAAAUAAAAUAAAACUACCAUUGAUAAUUAGGUUACACUUGACAGCAAUUUUAGGAAGUGUUUUUAAUCUUUCUAAUACUUGAAAAAUAACAAUAGUGGUUUUAAGAAACGUUUCUAACUUUUUUAAUGGACAAUUGCAAAUUAGGAAAUAAAUAUGUAAAUGGGUACCAAUUUUUCUAAAAGCUUUUAAACUUUUUUCUAUUUUGGGUUAUAAUGUGUAUCAUGUUAUUAACAAUAUUUUUGCUUUUAUUUCAUGUCAAAUAAUAUAAUUUUUAACUUUAGAAGAGUCACAAACAAUAUUUGUGUUUACCCUAAAAUGCUUUUUCCUCGUAUGCAUUUCAGGGUGUAGGGAUUCUCAUGGAAAAUACUUCCCAUGGCUGGCAUGGGAGUUGAAGAAUUGUUGCAUGUGCAGCCAAAGGUAAAAGAGGGAUUCAUGUGUUACCUGAAUUGCAUUUUAUCUGAUUUACAAUUUGAUUAUAUGUAUGUUUGUGCAGUCUGGUGCUUGUGUUGCUCAUUUCUAUAUGUGCUAAAUGGAGGAUUUCUUUUUCAUCCAAAACCCUAGUAUUGCAGGAGAUAGUUGCUUUAUGGGUCAGUCUUCUUACCAAAUCUUAACUCUAUGCUGACUUCUUUUUCUUUGAUUUCCUACUCUUUGUUCUGCAUAUGUGUUUUCAACCUAACUAUUUUCAUAGGGAUCAAUGGAAAUUAUGAUUUUUCAAAGAAUAUUGAAAGUAGAAGAAAAUUAAGCAUUUGUGAAAUAUGGAGGAGCAAAAUGAUUUCUUAGUUUUAGCACAUCAGUUUACAGAAGAUAUUGUAAUUUCACAUGAUGAAAAUGAAGAGGGGAACCCAGAUUUCCAAUGGAGGGACUUUUUGGGCUUGGGGGACUAGAAAUGCAAGAUAUAAGUGCAAAUAUUGGAGUUACCCAACCAUAAAUCUGUCCGAAAAACUCGCUUUAAGGGGAGGAUGUUCCUCAUACACAAGAUGGAUUUAGCAUGGGGAUAAUUAGAUCCUAGAUGUUUGUAAGACUCAAUUCUAUCCAGUUUGCGUCCUUUUGGGGCUCCAUCAUGUGGGUUCUUUCCCCUUUUCGGUCAUCUUAAACUGGCUCUGAUGGUUGUUCGAUUGGUAACUCCGAAAGAUCAGAAUAGCUGUAUCUGCUAAGAUAAUGGAUGAAAUGAUAUGCUAACUUGGCAACUCGAAAAUAAUGGCCCGUGUCUUCCUCCUAUUAGGGUAUAUUGAAUUCUAAUUCAAGAAAAUUUUGCAGUAUUCAGGGUGGAAGCAGAUCACUUAAUCUUUUGUAGUAGGGAUUUAAGAGGUUUAGGCAGAUGCUUGAAGGUUUAUUCAUACUUAUUGUGAAGCAGAUCAUCUGGAAAACUGGGGAGUUAUCAUGCUGAAGACAUUUUUCUCCUUAUUGAAGUUUUCCAAACAAACCCUUCCAUCUAGGGUGAAUUAUUGGUUUCAUUUGGCUGAGUAGGAGAUUUCAGAUAGAAGCCAUCAAUCCUGGUCCUCAAGGGUGGAGUGGUAUGAUUACCAUCUAUGUAAAGACUUUGAAAUUUUUUUGUCAUUAACAAGCAUUUGUUGAUAAAUUUGCUUACCAUCUUCCACAAAUGAAAUUAUGGUUUUGAGUGUAUAAUUAUAACUGCUUAUGAUGAAAGGGAAAAACACCGACAAAGGACUCACUGGUUUUUUCUGCACAAAUGGGAGCAAUCUGUUAUUCUGGUUUCUUAUUACACACAAGCAAAACGAUCAUUUAUAGUUGUAAAUAGAGAGCUCUUCUUCUUACCUAGACUGAAAGUGACGGAGGUUUACUAUUUUAAGUUCAGUGACAUGUCCACAUUUUCUUCCUUUGCCUUACGAAGUGUUUCAAAUCCCAUUUCUUUCCAGACAUUCUUUAGCCUUUGAGCAACCGAAGAGAUAAGGGGACGCUUUUGGGGGUUCUCUUCUGUGCACAUCAUCCCUGCAUCGAGCAUGUGGAUACAGCAUUGCUCAAGCUUAUGUAAAGCACCACUCCCCUCUUCCAAAUAUGCUUCGUGCUUCAGUGAGAUGUCUACAAUAUCCAAAACUUGAUUUGGAAAAGCAGAACACACCCAUUUCCUUAGAUCAAGUCCAUCUGAAAACAUUUCAUUCGUUGGUCUCUUCCGUGUUAUCAUCUCUAACAUCAUCACUCCAAAACUGUAUACAUCUCCUCUUGUUGAGACAUCGAUCCCCUGCCCAUAUUCUGUGUACAAGCAAUAGGAACUAUUAGCUGAAUCACUGUACUUUUAUUUAUAUCCCUUCAAAUUAGGAUAGUCUGUUUAAAGAAAGAGACAUGGAUAGAUGCAGUUGGUUCAUAUUAACUAUCUGAAUAUCACAAGAAUGCAAGCAUCCUUCUUUUUCAUUUAGAUGUAAAUGCUUCUCAUUGGAAAAGCGAUUAGGAAACUAUCUGAAUAUCACUGUACUUAAAGAAAAGCGGGAGAAUAACCAACAAGACAUACCAUGUUGUUAAACAAAUUUAUCAUAAUGGUAUAUGAGGAAACACACAAAACCCUAUUUUUUCUUCUCGACUUCUAUCCUAUUAUUAACAGUUAGUUCUCUAGAAUAUAUGACCAUUGGGUAGGCAGUCAAAUGAAUGAAAACUAGACUAGUUUGAAGUUCAUGUGAGAUGAAAGAUUGGCAUUCAUGAUUAAAAGUAAUUAUCUAGUCUGAUAACUUAUCAUUUACUUCUCAGAUUUGAAGGUAGGUCGCUAACUUUUCCAAGAAGAUUCAAAGGGAUUAUGAAGCAUAGGAUUGAAGAUUUAUAUAAGGUAAUCAAAUGCAUACCUGGGGGGAUAUACCCGACAGAUCCUCGUAGAAAAGCAGUUGUGGUAGUAACAUGUCCUCUUGGUUUGUCACCUGAAAUGAGCUUUCCAAUACCAGAAUCUCCUACAUGAGCCACCAUAUCAUUGUCCAAAAGAACAUUUUGUGGUUUCAGGUCACAGUGUACAACUUGAACAGGACAACCCUCAUGAAGAUACUCCAAGCCAUUUGCAACAUCUAUUGCUAUUCCCAUUCUUUCCCUCAAUUUUAAUUCACUACCUCCUUCAUCUGACCCACCAGGGUAAAGAUGCUGUUCCAAGUUCCCAUUGCCUAUAUACUCGAGAACAAUAGCCUUGAAUCCUGAAUUCCAGGUCGAUCCUAUCAUUCUAACCAGAUUCCUAUGUCUAAUUUCAGACAGUAUUUGACACUCCCUUUUAAAACUUCUGUAACCCUGAACACGCUCUUCUUGCAGAACCUUAACUGCCACAACAGUUUUUCCAUCAUUGAUGAUAGCUUUAUACACCCUACCAAAACUUCCUUCCCCUAAUAGAUUAGCCUCAUCAAAACCGCCAGUAGCAAUUUCGAUUUCCCUUUCAGUUAAAGUUUGGGUUCCAUGAUGGGUUGGGGAAUACAUUAGAAUUGCAGUCUCCGCACCUGCACUCCUAUUUUUGAAGAAGAAACGACGAACAGUGAGGGCGAUCAGCACAAAGAGAAGCAGAGAACAAGUUAAUAUUGCAAACAGGUAAUAAAUCCAUUUCCUUUUCUUGUGCUUUUGUUUCAGAAUUUCACAUGGAUGGAGACCCAUAAGUUUGGUGCCACCACAGAGCCCCAUAUUCCCCAUGAAUGAGCUGCUUCCUAGAUUUUUAUACCUCCCACUAUUUGGAACCUCUCCUGUUAAUCUGUUAUACGAUAAAUUGAGAUUCUUGAUCUUCUGGCUGUCACCAAUCCAGAUUGGAACAUUUCCUGUUAAAUUAUUGAAAGCCAAGUCCAGAUAUCCUAGAUCAAUGAUUUGCUUCAGGGACUCUGGGAUUGUACCUUCAAGCAUGUUGUGAGAGAGGUUCAGAUACUCCAUUGAAAUGCAUCUUCCAAUCGAACUUGGUAUCACUCCGAAGAAUUUAUUCGCUGACAAGUCAAUUGCCAGCACAGAUGCCAGAUUUCCAAUACUAGCAGGUAGUUCUCCUUCAAGAUUGUUGUUCGAAAGGUUGAGUGAAAGAGCCAGGUUUGAGAAAUGACCAAUUUCUGUGGGAAGAGACCCUUGUAAGUUGUUAAAAGACAAAUCAAGAAGCAUUAGAAGAGAACAUUGGGUGAGUUCGAUGGGAAUUUUCCCUGUGAGGUGGUUGUGAGACAAGUAAAGAUAUCUCAACUGUGACAGAUUACCAAGAGAAGAUGGGAUUGUCCCACUAAUCAAAUUAUCACUAAGUUCCAGUAAACCAAGGUUAGCCAUCUGCCCAAGUUCAUCUGGAAUUGGCCCAAGAAGUUUGUUUCUUCCCAAGUGUAAUCUCUGCAACUGCCUAAGCUUCCCAAUUGUUGCAGGAACUCCAUUCAAAAAAUUAUACCACAGGUCUAGAGUCACAAGGCCGCUUAGAUUUCCAAUUUCAGCUGGUAGGUCUCCUGUUAAUUUGUUGUUUCGAAGAUUCAAGUAGUAGAGAUCUUUGGAAAGACUGCCAAUUGAAGCCGGUAAACUUCCUGCAAACAGACAUGCCCCUAAGUGCAGUUUCUGUAGACGUGAACAAUUAGUGAGAGGAGUUAGAAAACUGAGGGAAGAGUUGUUGGAACCGCUCACCAGGUUAUUGCUAUGAAGGUAAAGUCUCUCAAGUUUCUUCAACUUCCCCAACUCAGGAGGGACUUCCCCCUCUAACUGGUUGAGGCUAAGAUCAAGCAGUGUCAGCUGAGAAAGAUUGGACAGGGUCACUGGAAUUUUCCCAGAAAGUUGGUUUUCUUGGAAGUACAAUCUCUGCAAGUUAUGGAGCUUUGACCCCAAUUCGAAAGGGAUUGUUCCCGUUAACCGAUUCUCAAUCAGUGUAAUGUGACGCAGGGCAGUGCAAUUACUGAUGGAUGCAGGUAUGCUUCCUUCCAAAAAGUUGAUGUGGAGGUACAAUAUCUCCAGCUUUGUUAAUGCUCCUAGCUCCUCUGGAAUCCUUCCUGUGAAGUAAUUAACUUGCAAUUCUAAAUCUGUCAGCUUUGUCAGAUUCGAAAGAAACGAUGGUAUAGCUCCAGUGAGGCUGUUCUCAGAGAGACAAAGGUAUGUCAAGUUUGUCAUUUGGCCUAGUACAGCAGGAAUGCUUCCAGUCAGAUUGUUAUAGUCCAAGUCUAUUGUCUCCAGGCUCCAGCAGCCUUGUAUUGAGGCUGGAAUAUUGCCCCCAAGCUUAUUACCACUCAUGUUUAUGAAUGUUAACUCAGAAAGCUCUCCAAUGGUAGCUGGGAUCUCUCCAUACAAGCUGUUGGCUUGCAAAGAGAGGGUGGUGAGAUGGGAUAGAUUGGAUAUGUAUGGUGAGAUAACUCCCUGUAAGCGCAUGUUUAUGAGCUCAAUGGCUAUGACCCGGUUCUUAAGUUGCUGGUGGCAUGUAAUCCCUGUCCAGUUGCAGAAGAACCUGGUUUCAUUCCAAUCUUGGAGAUGACCAUCUGGAUCACCUGUUAUGCCUUGUUUGAAUUUGAGCAGAGAUUGACAAUCAGUGGAGUUUUUGCAGAGGAAUGUGGAAGUUGAUAGUAGAGCAAGACAACUAAGAGAGAAAAACACUGCCACAGCAACGGGAUUGUUCUGAUUGUAUGCCAUUCUCUCUCUCUCUCUCUCUCAGUGUGUGUGUACAGCUUUUGGAAUUCGAUGUUAGAUUUCAGGCCAAAAGUUUUUUUUCUCACUUGUUAGGUAAGAUGGGAUGAACAAUCAAUUUUCUUAAAAGUUUAAACUUAACGUGUAUCAUACUUUUCAACACUCGACGGGAUCAAUGGUAGAAGUUUAAAUAGAUGGGCUCAGUUGCUCAAAUGGUUCAGACAACUUGGCCUAGUGAGGGGCAGGUGGUGAGCCCUCAUUUAUCACUGGGACCAUAGAGCAAGACUUUUUGGUAUUGCCAUCACCUGUCUUAACUUCAUUCAACCUCUUCAAUGCUGUUUGACAUUUUCUUCCGUGACAGAAUUAAUAGCUAUGCAGUUUCCCAAAAUUUGCUCCGAACCCAUUGUCAUUUUUUUUUCUUCAUAUUUUAUAUUUUGUAUUUAUUUAUUUUUAUAUUAUUAUCAUUUAUUAUUUAUUUUAUUUUUCUUUCUUUUUCUUUUAUUUAUUUUAUUUUCUUCUUCCUUUCUUCCUCCAUGCAUGCACUACCAUUGUCACUUUUUUCUCUUUCUAAGGAUUUGCAAUUGACUCUAUUGAUAUUUUGUUGGUUGAGCAUGGAUUUAUGACUUAUAACACACACAUGGAAGGUUGAAUUUCAUGAAAGAAAAUGAGGGUUAGAAAAAUAAUAAAUGGGAAACAUUGAGCUUAUUGUGGGUUUGAUUUGGUACAAAUUCUUUUGUAUAUAUCUACUUGGGUAUACAAUUGAAUAUUUAAUUUAGGAAAAUUCAAAAAAUUGUUUUCAAUGAAAUUAAAAAAAAAAAUUAAUAACAAUUGCCUGGAAAUUUAUUUAUUUAAUAAACAUUGUUUUGUCAAUAAAAUUGUCAUCAAAGUUAAUUUUUAAUAAAAUUAUCUAAAAAAGUGAAUUUAUAAAUGAAAUUCUAUUUCCUUAAUUUAAAUGGGAUAAAAAGUAAUUUUUGUAAAUUAAAGUCUUAAAUAAUUUUUUCAUAAUAAUAGAACGAGAAUCUUUUUAGCAAAUUGAACUUAUACAAAUUAUUUUCUUUUCGUAAAUAAAGUUUGUAAAGAAAUUAUUUUCUUUAUAAAUAAAAUCAAAAUGAAAUAUUUUUACAACUAAAAGAAUAUUUAAUUGAGCAAGUGAUGAACUAUUUGCUUGUUUAAGUAACCUUUUGAAAUGUUCCCUCAGCAUAAUGGUAGUACAAUAAGAGGGUUUAUUAUGUACUUCUUUCUAUAUGGACUUUGGGUAUAAUAAAAACAAUGCUUUCUCUCUCUCUCUCUCUCUCUCUCUCUCUCUCUCUCUCUCUCCCCCUAGUCCACAGGUUUACACCCUCAGCUUUACCCUGGACUAAGUCCUGAAACCCAAAGAUUAUGCAGAAUCAAACUCUUAAAGUCUACAGCAUGAGUUGAAGAAAAAAGGAUGAGUAUUUAAUGUAGUAGUUGAGGAAUGAUUCAAUGUUUGAAAUAUAAAAAAUGCAAUCCAUUGAACACUUAGCUGGACUAUCUGCUUAUUGUAUACAUAAAACAUAGACUAAUCCGAAGACUUCUAUGUUAUAACUUUAGAAUUUUCAUAUCCAAGGUUUUCACUUCUUUCUCAUCAGAAGACAAAGAUUGUAACUGUUGCAGAAAACCUAACAACCUAGUUUAUUUGUUAAGGUCCCUUUCUCUCAUAAGACAUAAAUAUAUUCACUAUCAAACACCAUAAUGAUAAUAAUAAUGAUCUUCUUUUUGCUGUAUAUACACUACUUUAGAGUUUGUUCAAUGUUUGGUUACCAAGAAAACAGAAGGACUGAUCUGCUGCAUUAAAAGGUUAAGUAAUCCUGAAUACUUUCACUUCAUUUUGCCAUAUGUAGUUCUUCCAUUAGCUAGCCAUUUGGAACUAAAUCUUGUGGAGAACUUUUCAUAUUGGAGAUGGAUAUGAAAUUGGAUCUGCCUCCACCUCAUUGAACUUCACUUUCAACAUAUGCAUUGAGAAUAUUUAAGUUAAGAUCAGUAUACUAACUAACCCUACAUAAAUUAACAUGUAUUGGUGAAAACACUUAUCCUUGUAAGUGAGAAAGCAAAAAAAAAAAAAGAAAAAAAAAAAAGACCUACCCAUUGAAGACCAUCUAUAAAUUGACAUGUUUCUCAUGCAAAAAUUUUCACCCCUCACCUAAACACAAAGAUUUGUGAUUGUUUGGAGACAGUACUCUAACAAUGGAGAAAGGUGUUAGUUUCCUAGUAACUGUGGCCCUCAUGGCAUUGGCUUCAUCUUUUGCCUCUGCCUCUGAUCCAAGCCCACUGCAGGACACUUGCGUUGCCAUUGGGGAACCCAAGAAUGCUUGUAUUUCUUUAGUAACCAAUGAACUUGUCACUAUUUUCACUGAUCUUUCCAAUUCAAUAUUGGGCACAUUAAUGCAGUAGCCAUUGCUGGUCUAAGCAGCCAAAAUCCAGGUGUAAUCACCAUAUCCAAUGCAGUGUUUGGAUCAAAUCCACCAAUCAAUCCUGAUUUCCUGGCAACGGCCUUCCAGUUGGACAAGAAGGUGGUUGAAUUCCUUCAAGCACGAUUCUAGUGGGGAAAUAGAGAAAAUGAAGAAGCUAUGAACCUUUGAUUUGCUUGCUUGAAUGACUAUUUGUGAUGUUCAAUUACCUCAUUACAAUAAGAGGGGUUUAUUACUUUAUUUUGUAGCUCUUUUGGUGUGGACUUUGGUCCUAAUAUUAAAAUAAAGCAGUUUGUCUGUUAUGCAUCUUCUUCUGUCUCCAUCUCAAUAUUUGUCUUAAAAAAUCUUAUCUUGUGAAAAAACAACUCUCAGUUGAUUGAUUAACCUGCAUGUGCAGAAUGUUUAUUAAGAAUGAAUACUUAACUAGUUGUAAAACAGUACUACUGCUACUUCCAGCAUACUGCUGGCAGAAUUGGUGAUGAAGGAAUGAACAUUGAGGCAACAACUGCUGAGAAUUCAAAAAUAAAAAAGAUGCCAUUUUGCUUCUCUAUAUUUUCCCAUUAUAACUCAUCAACCGAGAUCGAAGAAACUAAUUAAGAUGUCCAAGUAAACCAUUUGAAUGGUGGGAGAAGCAUAAGUGUCAUGAAAAUUGUGAAGAAAGAAUGGAAAUGAAAACCCAGAAAUCUUAUGACAUCUACUGUAGACAAAUUAAUGUCUUAAAUAAUCUUUUCAUAAUAAUAGAACGAGAAUCUUUUUAGCAAAUUGAACUUAUACAAAUCAUUUUCUUUUCAUAAAUAAAGUUUAUAAAGAAAUUAUUUCCUUUAUAAAUAAAAUCAAAUUGAAAUAUUUUUGUAAAUAAAGUUCUAAAAAUUCAUUCUUUUUCUAGUAAAAGUAAGUCAAAAUAAUUUUUAUUGUCAAAUUGGAAUUUUUUGAAUAAAUUCUAUCCAAAUAAAAUUCAAUCAAAUCAUUUAUUGGAAAUAAAUAAAUAAAUUAAAAUCUUGAAAAAGUAAUAUUUAAAAUAUCUUUUUGUAAUCAAUUUAAUAAAUCGGGGUGUAUAAUUCUAAUGUCAUUUAUUUUGUACAUUUUUGUAAUUUAAUUUUAUAAUUAUUUUCUUGUAUAUUAAUUUGUGUCUUUAAUCUUGAUAUUCAUGAUUGAUCAAUUAACUGUCAUAAUUCAUUUUGUUUGUUUAGUAAAGAUUGUUAGUAUACAUGCUUAGAGGGGUAUUACCACUUAUUAUUGUACCUUUCUGAUAGACAACUUGACCCUUGAAUAUAGACUUGAUUUUACAGACAUGUCUUUUCUAAAUGAGGAUUUAUACAAAAUUUUCUUUCUUAUUUUAUUUUCUCUUUUAAAAAAUAAAUUAAAAUAAGUGGCAAUCCUAAUUUUUUUAUAUAAAAAAAAAAAAUCAAAAUUUCACAAUAAAAAUGAGUCUCACUGUCGAGUGGGAACACACGCAAAAAAUACGGGUCAACAUGUAUCCAAUUGAUUGGGGUCAAUGUCAAGAUGUAUGAUAAAGAUGCAAAAUUUGAAUAUGAAUCCUACCAUUGAUUGAAUCUUGAACUACCUGAUACUGGUUGUAACAAGUGAGAUAAGUUGCUAAGGUUUGCAUUGAAAUCCUCAAUUGAAAGUUACUAGUCAUCCAAAUAUGUAUAUAAAUCAAAGUGCACACAAUUGAUUUUCUUUCUCUUCUAAAUCCAAGAAAUCAACCUCCUUAAGCAAAAGACCUUAGAAUUCUUAGAGUGUGUUUGAUAGUGAUUUUAGGAAGUGUUUUUAACUUUUUUAAUAAUUGAAAAAUAAGAAUUUUGAAGUGUUAAAAAUGUUAGAAACGCUUCCUAAAAUCACUAUCAAACGCACUUUUAAUGUAAUUUGCUCUAUGUACCACUUGAUGUGGAUGUUAAGAUUGAUAUCCUUGGUCAUUGCCUAUAAUCCUAUAUCUAUAAUAGCAAGAAGACAUACAUUGAAACAUGAAUACCCUUUCACUAUGUUUGGUUUAUGGAAAAUACUAAGAAAAGAAAAUGUUCUGAAAAAUGUUUUUCUUAUAUUUAGUUUUAUUAUGAAAAAUAAGAAAAAAAUAAAAUAUAAUUAUAAUUAAUUAAAAUUUUAUGUAUUUUAAAAUUAUUUAAUAUUUAUAUAAUGAAGGAAAAUAAAUGAAACAAGCUUGAAAAAGUAUAUAAAAAUAAUUUAUUAAUUAUAACUUGUAUGCGACUAUUUUGUACUUUAAUCCCGUUUUUCUUUUAUUCUCUUGUAGGUACCUUGAUUUUAUAUAUUUGUAUCUUUAUUCGAUGAUUUAGAUUUCAUAUAUUUGUAUCUUUAAUUGAGAUUGCAAGAUCCGUACGGAUUCAGAUUAGGGAUGACAACGGUAUGGGCUUGAGGCAAGUUACUCAUAUCCCAAUCCAUUAUAUUUAUUCGUAUAUGUUAUCAUCCCCACCAAAAAAAGAAAUUAAAUGGGAAUAGGAAAUUCUCAUGCCUACCCCAUGCUAUCCCAUUAUUUAUUUAUUUAUUUUUCAAUUUUUAUUUCUAAAAUUUUAAGAAAAUUAAUAUUUUAAAUAUGUUAAAAAAAUUGAAAACUGAAAAAAGAAAUCAAUUAAAGAACUUUUUAUUUAACAUUAUACAUAAUUAGGCUGAGGUAGGAUGAAACAAACUCAUACCCAAAAUCACCCUGAAUCAAUCUUGGGUUUUUAAAAAUUUCUCAAAUUCAAGAUGAGACAAAAUCAUAUCCAAAACUAUCUCGAAUCCAUCCUAGAUUUUAAAAAUUUUCUCUAAUUUAUCUAAACUUUAUAUCAUUAUCUCAAAACGAGUACAUUAAGGGUAUGACAAGUACUAAAAAAAAAUUGGUAUAUUGUCAUCCCUAAUCAAGAUCCUAAAAUUUUUCUUUAUGAUAAUGAAAACAACAAUCAUAGUCGUCAUCUCUCUAUCAGUGUACUUUUUAGGUUUGAUCGAAUACACCUUAUGUGUUGCCUUUGGGGCAACCUAGCUCUCUCAAUCAUUGUCUAAAGUUCGGGUGUUUGUUUGUUUUAAUUUUUUUCGACUUUUUUUAAUACUAAAAGUAACUUAAUGACUUUUUUUUAACUUUUUAGUACUUAAUAAAAAUAAAAUAUUAAAAAACCAAAAACUGUGAUGUUUAAUACUUUUAAACACUAUAUAAUUUUAAGUUUUAUUCAAAAUUAAGUAAAAAAGAAAAAAAAAACACUCCUUUGAUGGUCAUCUAAAACUUUUAGGUCAAAGCUUGAUUUGGAGCUCAUUUAAACCUAACCCAAACUUCAACUAAAAAGACCUAUGUCCAACACAAUUAUUAGAGGUGUCCAAUGGGUCAUGUCGGGCCAACACAACCCAUGUUUAUCAGGCCAAUGCGUUGGCUCGACCCAUGCAAGCCAAAUAGGUGGCUUGACAUGGCCCAUAAACCCAUGGGCUAAUCAUGUCGUGUUGUGCCAUGUCGGUGAGUCGCCCCAUGGGCCACACACUUUAAUUAUUAUUUUUUAAUUUAUUUUGUCUUAAGUUUUUUAUUAUUAAAUAAAAUUUCUUUUUGUUACUUUAAACACCUCUAAUAAUUAUACUUUUUAUUUUUUAUAUUUAUAUUUAUCAAGUUUAUAACUGUAAAAUUUAUAAAAAUGUUAGUUUUUUGUUUUUAAAAAUAAUAAAAAGUGAUAUUUAAAGGGUUAAGUGGGCCAACAUGAUGGCACGACGGGUUGUUUCCUUAGGCCCACCACGACCCGCUCCUUUGGGCCAUGCCGGCCUGACUCGAUCUUUUGGCGCACUAGGCCACAGGCCAAAAUGGGUGGCUCGACCCAUUGGACACCUCUAGUAGUUACAUGUCUAGCAUCCAAACGGUAGACCAGGUGAGUUUUGUCAAACCCAACCCAUUCAUCCCCUUUGCUUCAUGUUGGCCACCCGGUUCAGACCAACCAUUGGGUUGAUUUGGGGUCUUGGUUAUUUUUGUUUAAAUAAAUUGCAAAGAAAAAAAAAACUUGGUUUGGAUAAAUAAACUUAAGUUGUUUUUAAAAUAAGCUUUUAUUUGAUUUUUUCUAAAAAAAUUUAUAAAUUCAAUUUGUACAAUAUUAAUUAUAUUUAAUUGAAGUCUUAUUAAAGAUUUAAAAAAAAAUAGUUUUUAAAUUAAAGAUAAAUUAAAAAAAAUCAUAAAAUAUGAAAUUAAUAUUAUAAUAAAAUCAUAAAUUAUGAUUUUUAUUUAAAAUGAUACUAUUUUAAGAUAUGAUUGAUUUAUUUAUUUUGAUAAGAAUGAAUAAUACUAAUUUUAAAAUAAUAAAAGGGUGAUAUAGUUUAUUUGAAAUAAAUUUAAAAAUAAAUAAAAUUUAUUUUUUUAAUACGUAAAUAAGCGAAGUUUUUCAUUAUAUCUACACCUGAGAAUUUAAUCAAGGAUAUAGUAUUUUGAACUAGUUUUGAUUCAUUCCUAUAAUCUUCAUUCAGUCAUUAUGGUUUAGACAAUUGAUAAUUAAUCUGUUGGCAUAAUUGAUUCUGCAAAACAGUAUCCUGAAUUUAGUAUCGAGGGAGGCAGAAACACAGCGAGAGAGAGAGAGAGAGAGAGAGAGAGAGAGAGAGAGAGAGAGAGAUGAUGCUUAACAAUUAACAGACUGCAGACUGCUUUAUUGUAGUAAUAUGCCCAAAGUCCACACCAGAAGAGUUACAACCAGACCCUCUUAUUAUACCAUGUUUGUUACAAUGAGGGAAUUGAACAUCAUGAAUCGUCAUUCAAGCAAGGAAAUCAAAGGUUGACAGCUUAUUCUUUUUCUAUAUUUCCCCACUAGAAUCGUGCUUGAAGGUAUUCAACCACCCUCUUGUCCAACUGGAAGGCCCUUGCCAGGAAAUCAGGAUUGAUGGGUGGAUUUGAUCCAAACAUUGAACUGGCUAUGGUGAUUACACCUGGAUUUUGGCUGUUAAAAGCGGCAAUGGCUACUGCAUUAGUGUGCCCAAUGUUGACUUGGAAGUGAAUGAGACUGAAAGGGAACACAAAAACAUCCCCCUUGUUCAGGACUUUGCUAAUGAAGCGGUGUUCAGGGUUGGAUGUGAUAAAGCCAACAAAGAGUGUUCCCUCCAAGACAAUGAAGACCUCACUGGCACGAGGGUGAAAGUGAGGAGGGUUUUGACCAUUAGGUUCAUAAUCGAUACGAGCCACUGACACCCCAAGAGUGUUUUCUCCUGGUAAUUGAUCAACAUUUAUAAGAUUGACAAUUGAGCCCACAUAAUUUGAUGUGUUUCCUGGAAUAUUCAGCCCUUGAUACAAGAAAUCCUCGGCCACGGUCAGGUUUGGGUUCUUGCAGAACUUCCCAUUUACAAAUACUGCAUGAAGAAGGAAAAAAGAAAAGAUAUAUCAUUAGUAUCAAACCAUACUCACCAUAUCAAUAAAAAGAGAAGUACUGAAAAUAGCUAUAAGAUCAUUGGUUACUAUAGAAAUACCAGCAUUAUUGGGCUCAUCAACGGCAACACAGGUGUCUUCCAGUGGGCUUGGAUCAUAGGCAGAGGCAAGAAAGGAAGCCAAUGCCAUGAAGGCCACGGUUACCAGGAAACUAACGCCUCUCUUCAUUGUUAGAGUACUGCCUCCAACAAUCACAAUCUUUAUCUUUAGGCGGGGAUAAGAAAUUUAGCAUGGAAAAGAUGUUAAUUUAUAGACCAGAGUCGAUGAGUUAGUCUUUGCAUAAACUCACCAAGUCUUCAAUGGGAAGUUUUUUCUUCUUUCUUUUUUCACUUUCGAGGACAAGCGGUUGCACCAAUACAUGUUGAUUUACGUAGGAUUAGUCAGUAAACAGAUCUUAACCAGAAUAUAAAGCAAUGUACAAUCAGGUGGAGGCAGGUCCAAUUUAAUAUCAAUCUGCAUGAUCCAAACGUUUACAUUGUUUCAACAUUUUUGUAUUAUGGUUUUUAUGAACUGUGUUUUUUUGAGUUGUAAGGAAGAAAAACUUAGGUUUAAAGUUCUAGCAUAGAAGAAAAAACCUGUAGAUUAAUUGAUUUUUUAAUCUGAACCAAACACAUGAUCAACUCCAUAAAAACAAGUGGAAAACAAGAAAAAAUGAAUGAUUUUUAAUAUGUAUUUGUGUGAGAAUGAUAGGUAUAGAUUUUUUUUUGAGAUAUACUGCCACAUAAUCUUCAUCCCUUCUAAAAAACGAGAGAGAAAAAAAAAAGAAUGAUUUUUCUGUUUGUAUCUAAGUGAGAAUGAGAUAUAGAAUUUCACUCCAGACGCAUUAAUUUUAUCUCAUACUGCCAUGCUAGACCAAAUCAGCCCUUAACGACAACCACACUGUUUUGUGGGGGGGGGGUUACUUUUGUUCCAUUAUAUUCACAGAAUCUUCAAAUCCAUUCUUUGGAUUAAUCUGCAUGAGGAAAUCUGUUACUGUUAGUGACGGAAACCUGUUAUUGUUAGUACCGGAGUCAACUGUUUGACUGGGUGGGUUCCAAUCAGAUCCUAAGGAAUGGGUCCAAAGGUCAUCCAUUAGAGUUAAUGGAAUUCAUUGUUGUUCUUGUGCCUUGAUGUGUGAGCCCAACACGCACAGAUGCAACUAGGGAUGGCAACGGGGCGGGUUUUUUCGGGUACCCGCCCUGCCCCGCCCCUAAUGGGAUGGGGUUGAAAUUUAAUAAAUGGGUUUUUAACGGGUAUAAGAUUUUUUUUUUUAAACCCGGGGCGGGUUCGGGUAUUGCCCCAUCCCGCCCCGCCCCGCCCCGCCCCGCCCCGCCCCGCCCCGUUUACAUAUAAAAUCAAUUUUAAAAUUUAAUUUAAUUUAAUUUAAAUUUUAAAAUUAAUUUUAUUUUACUAUUUUUAAUAUAUAGAUAAUAAAAAAAAAUUAAUAAAAUAAAUUAUAAAAAAUAUAAUAAUUUUAUUAUUUAUAAAUAUAUUUAUUUUAAUGUAAUUAAAAAUUUUAAAAGCAAUUUUUUUUUUUUUUAAAAAGGAGGCUAAACAGGGCUGGGCGGGGCGGGUUUGGGAAUUUCCCAUACCUGCCCCGCCCCGCCCCGCCCUGCCCCGUUUAAUUUUUUAAACGGGACGGGGAUGGGAAUUAUUUUUAAUAAACGGGGCGGGGUUGGGAUGGGGGCGACCCGUCCCGAACCUGCCCCGUUGCCAUUCCUAGAUGCAACAGUAUGAGUCAUGUGCAGGUAGAUUUGAAUAGACACAUCUUGGCAUCGGGAUGGCUUGAGCAAGGUGUAGUCUCCUACAAUAGGAAGCAUGGUGAACUGAUGCAUCACAUGAGCAAGACUCCUAUUGCAUGAGACAUACUCCUAUCACAUGAGACUUCUAGUCAAAGUGGGAGAUUGAGACCUAAUAUUGCAGGAAGAGAAAGGGACUCUUGACAUGAGAAGACUCCUAAUCGGGAUAGAAAACUAAAUCUUCAUGCAUAAGGAGAUAGAGAGAUGUGGCAUGAGAGUUUUAGAUUCAGUAGGACUUGGAGUCCUACUCAAAUUUGUCAUCUGUUAAGCUUGAGUCGGACGCAAACUAGGACUCAAAAGUUAGUCUCCUAGUAGGAUUAGGAUGGCUUGGUGCAACCUUCAUAAAAGGAGGGCGUGACCCAAUAGGAUGCUCCAAAAAUGGUACCUUACGUGAUAGGAAGGCCCCUUCAAAAGUCAUAUUGCUUGUACCACCAAGACACCACCACUAAGUAUUUGUCCAUAUCUUAAUCCAUGUGUGCAUGGAGAUGAACAUAAAUAUAUAUAGAAAAGAUAAAUAUUAGAAGACAAGUCUCCACAAAGAGACAAAAAUAUAGAAGGCUUCGGUCAACCAAUCCCGCUAUGCGUGGCAAAUGUUUCAGGGGACUGCGUAGGAUUGAACAGCCUUUGCUAGAGGGAAGAUCAAUCUAUGGGCGUGAAUAAAGAGAGAACUGGAGAAGUAUUGGAACAGGCGGGUCACCUCAGUUGACCAGGAAACAUGGCAUUAGUCAACGCAAACCUUGGCUUUCGAUCUCUACAUCGGUGCUGAAUAUUGUUGAACGGAAACACGUGGCCAGCUACAUUGGUUCUAGACAACAAAGGCUGCAACAAUUAACCUGAAAUUGAAAAUUUUGAAAUUUUUUUGAAAACAUAACAUCUUAAGAUGACUGGUAACCUUCUCUUAUUGGUUGGCUCUAAAUCAAAACCACUAUACAUGCAUUGUUCAAUGUAUAUAUGAUGUAGCAUUUUUGUGUUUUGUCUUUUACAAGUUGUAUAUAUUGGAAAAUUCUGACACCAUACAAAAACAUAGAAAAGCCACAAAUACCGCAACUUGCAUAUUUUCAUUUUAUGGCUGAAACUUUUCAAUGAAUCAUUAUCUUUAUUUCAAACUUUAAAAUUUUGAAAACAUAACAUCUUAAGAUGACUCGUAACCUUCUCUUAUUGGUUGGCUCUAAAUCAAAACCACUAUACAUGCAUUGUUCAAUGUAUAUAUGAUGUAGUAUUUUUGUGUUUUGUCUUUUACAAGUUUUAUAAAUUGGAAAAUUCUGACACCAUACAAAAACAUAGAAAAGCCACAAAUACCGCAACUUGCAUAUUUUUAUUUUAUUUUAAUUAUUUAUAGUUGAUUAGGUUUAUGGUAUGCCAUGUUGGAUGCUUUCAGAUUUUACAGAUCUAAGUUACUUUUAUUUUGAGAACGAAUAUUCCAUAAUUCAACCUUUUCCUUUUCUUGUUGGUAAUCAUGAUACAUAAAAUCUAGGAAUGCUAAACACAUCUUUUUUAAAAGUACUAUAUUGUAUUACAAUAGGAAAUGGCUUUUAUCAAAAGAGAAAUAUCCUUAAAUUGAUUAGGCCUAGCUCAUACUUUCAUCAACCAUAUGAUGACAUGAAAAAAAUCAAAGAAGAAAUAUGGGAAAUGGUACGAAAAGAGAUGGGUAGUAAUAACAUGAGACAACAACUUGUUUUACAACUAGUUGUAGCAGAAAAACCAAUGUUUAAAAUGAUAGAAGAGCCCCAACCACCAGAACCACCACUGAAACACAAGGUAUGCAUUUACUUACUAAUAAUACAAGAUUAAUAUAAGUGACAUAAAGCCUAUGUAAAUGAUAUUAUUUGUUGUAUUGAAGGUAAUUAAAUGUAAAUUAGCAGUGGAAAGAAAAGAAAAUGUUGUUCCAACUGGUACACUAAUAGAAGAAAAAGGAUCGAAUAGGUUGGUUGUAAUAAAUGCUGCACACAAGCCAGAUGCUAGACUCCCAUUUCCAAAUCCAUAUGAGAUUAUCAAUGUUGGGGAUGCUAUUGGCUUUGAGCUUGACUGGCCAACAAGCCUUGUCAUACUUGAAACUGAACAUCCUUAGGUAUGUCAUUUUAUGCCUAUAGUAAAUUUGAUUGUAACUUGGUAUUUUAUUGUUUAGGAGUAUAUAUAUCUAACAUUCCUUCCUUUUUCAUAGGUGUUGGAUAAAGGAAAGAAGAAGAUAGUGAAGACACCAAUUUUUUGAAAAUCUAAGCCUCAAAAUCAUUCGGUCAUUAAAAAUUUUCAAAAAUUUGUGGAUGGUUGUCUUGGUAAUGACAAGACAUACCCAAUACAGCUCCCCAUUUCACUUUUUGGUGUCGAAUUUCAAACAUAUAUAUCUAGAGAGGAUUGUGAAUACAUUAUUUCAUCUUUAGAGGUGUCAUCAAACUGCAUCUCCUUCUAUUUAUGGUGUGCACCUUUUAUUUUCAUUUGUUUUUAUUUUUUUAAAUAUGAGUUGCCCAUGUUGAACGAAAUUGGAUAUGACUAAUGAUAAUUUUCUUUUGGUGUUUUGAUACAAUAAUAGGCACAUGCAUGAUCAACUACAUAUUGCCAAAAAGGAAUCACAAUUUAUAUUUGUUAAUCCUUUUACAAUAUCACGAGCAAGCCUUAGUACUCAUCAAACAGAGAAAAGAGCACAAUUGUUGUCAAAACGCUUAAUGGAGUGCCAAGAUGCUAAAUAUGUUUUCAUACCUUACAACCCUGAGUAAGUGACAAAUAUUAUACUUUAAUUUGAGGUUUUAUGAUUGAUUUAUAUUUCUAAUUAGACGCUACUUUUGUUUUUAAUGUUUUAGCUUUCAUUGGGUCUUGGUGGUGAUUGAGCCAAGGAAAAUGAUAGUCCACUAUCUUGACCCUAUGCAUCACAAACUAUUUGAGGACUUAAAGAAUAUCGUAAACAUGUAAGUUCUUCCUAUUAUUUUUCAUAGUAUUAUUUUUUUUUUUUUAUAAAAAAUACAUUCAUCUCAAACACAUUGAACUUAUUUACAUAGGGCACUUCGAAUAUCUACAAAGAAAACAUCUAAAAGGGAGCCAUCUUGGCAACUAGUGCAGGUGACAUCCAAAAAAUUUUCUUUACACAUUAGCUUAUGCAUUUGCACCAUUUAUAUAUAUGAGUACUAAUGUUAUUUUAUAAUUGAUCGAUUAGUGUCCAAGACAAGAAGGAGGGUUCGAAUGUGGCUACUUUGUUAUGAGAUUCAUAAAAGAGAUAAUUUUUUAUCCUACAAUUAUUGCUUCAAAGGUAUUACAAAUUUAAUGAAUUGUACAUAGUUUUAGGCUUCCAAAUGUUAUGCAUUUUAAUGUUAUUUUCUUAUUUGAUUUCAGUUUGGUGAUAAAAAAACAUAUUCUCAAGUAGAAUUCGAUGAAAUUAGAGAAAAAUGGGCUACUUUUGUGCUACAACUAAUCAUGAAUCAUGUUGAUGCAUCAUGAUCACCAUGCAUGGUGAGUCCUUUAGCUACUACAUGAAUUUUUCCAUAGGUUCUUUGAAUAAUGUUUCUAUUUGAAAAAAAAAAAGAAAAAAAAAUAGUUCUUAGAUUUUUUUCAUUUAUGAUAACAUCGAUCCAUGUUUAUUUUCUUCAAUAAAAAUCUAUAAAACUCAUUAAACUAUGAAAUGCAAGUAUACACUUUUGGGAUGGUGGAAUGGAGAAUAAAAAGAAAGAAGAAGGCAACAAGAUUUUGGGUUUUUAAAUGCAACUCUUAUGUCAUACGUUGUAGGACAUAAAUGUUAAUUUAAUUAGUACUGAGAAAUUUAGAUUUUUAGAUGGGACUUUUAUGUCAUUUUAUAGUUAGCCGGUUUUAUGCUUAUGAAUUGGAGGUAUACAUGAAUCUUGGGAUCUUUAACAUUUCUAAAUCAUGUUUUGGUAUGUAUUCACUCUUCUUUUUUUAGUUUUGAUGGGUUUGAUAUGUUGGAUGUACUAUCUUUUUGUGAACAUUUGAUAUACAAAUAUUAUUAGAUGAUCAAUGUAUUAUGAGUUAUUCUAGAAACAUUACAGAAAAAUGAGUUAAAUAUAAUAUUAUUGUUAUAUUUAUGGACAAAAAAUAAAUAGGUUAAUCUUACUUAUUAAUUCAUAAGCAUUACAAAAAUUUAUAACUAAAAGCAAUCAUAUCUUCCACAAUAAUUUACAAUGAUGUGACACCAUUACUCAAAGGUGAUGCAUUUAAUAUGACAUUAUAAUUCAAAGAUGAUGCAUUUAAUGCGAUACCCUCUCAUCACUAGAAAUAUAUGGUGUCACUUCCGAAUGGGUCACCAUUUAUCUACUUUGGUGUCACUUCCAAAUACGUUACCAAUUGGUACCCUCUAUGGUAUCAGUGGAGAAGGUGACGCUAUGUUGUAGUGACACCCUAUGUUUAUGGUAACUCGUUAUAAAUGUCACCAUAUAUCUUUUUCCCUAUAGUGUAUAGCUCCAGUGAGGCUGUUCUCAGAGAAACAAAGGUAUGUCAAGUUUGUCAUUUGGCCUAGUACAGCAGGAAUGCUUCCAGUCAGAUUGUUAUCGUCCAAGUCUAUUGUCUCCAGGCUCCAAUAGCCUUGUAUGGAGGCUGGAAUAUUGCCUCCAAGCUUAUUACAACUCAUGUUUAUGAAUGUUAACUCAGAAAGCUCUCCAAUGGUAGCUGGGAUCCCUCCAUACAAGCUGUUGCCUUGCAAAGAGAGGGUGGUGAGAUGGGAUAGAUUGGAUAUGUAUGGUGAGAUAACUCCCUGUAAGCGCAUGUUUAUGAGCUUGAUUGACUCUAUUGAUAUUUUGUUGGUUGAGCAUGGAUUUAUGACUUAUAACGCACACGUGGAGGGUUGAAUUUCAUGAAAGAAAAUGAGGGUCAGAAAAAUAAUAAAUGGCAAGACAUUGAGCUUAUUGUGGGUAUGAUUGGGUACAAAUUCUUUUGUAUAUAUCUACUUGGGGUAUACAAUUGAAUAUUUAAUUUAGGAAGAUUCAAAAAAUUGUUUUCAAUGAAAUUCAAUAAUAAUAAUAAUAAUAAUAACAAUUGCCUGGAAAUUUAUUUAUUUAAUAAACAUUGUUUUGUCAUCAAAGUUAAUUUUUAAUAAAAUUAUCUAAAAAAAUGAAUUUUUAAAUAAAAUUCUAUUUCCUUAAUUAAAAUGGGCUAAAAAGUAAUUUUUGCAAAUUAAUGUCUUAAAUAACCUUUUCAUAAUAAUAGAAUGAGAAUCUUUUUAGCAAAUUGAACUUAUACAAAUCAUUUUCUUUUUGUAAAUAAAGUUUGUAAAAAAAUUAUUUUCUUUAUAAAUAAAAUCAAAUUGAAAUAUUUUUACAACUAAAAGAAUAUUUAGUUGAGCAAGUGAUGAACUAUUUUCUUGUUUAAGUAACCUUUUGUAAUGUUCCCCCAGCAUAAUGGUAGUACAAUAAGAGGGUUUAUUAUGUACUUCUUUCUAUAUGGACUUUGGGUAUAAUAAAAACAAUGCUUUCUCUUUCUCUCUCUCUCUCUCUCCCCCUCAGUCCACAGGUUUAGACCCUUAGCUUUACCCUGCACUAAGUCUUGAAAGCCAAAGAUUAUGCAGAAUCAAACUCUUAAAGUCUACAGCAUGAGUUGAGGAAAAAAGGAUGAGUAUUUAACGUAGUAGUUGAGGAAUGAUUCAAUGUUUGAAAUAUAAAAAAUGCAAUCCAUUGAACACUUAGCUGGCCUAUCUGCUUAUUAUUGUAUACAUAAAACAUAGACUAAUCCGAAGACUUCUAUGUGAUAACUUUAGAAUUUUCAUAUCCAAGGUUUUCACUUCUUUCUCAUCAGAAGACAAAGAUUGUAACUGUUGCAGAAAACCUAACAACCUAGUUUAUUUGUUAAGGUCCCUUUCUCUCAUAAAACAUAAAUAUAUUCACUAUCAAACACCAUAAUGAUAAUAAUAAUUAAUGAUCUUCUUUUUGCUGUAUAUACACUACUUUAGAGUUUGUUCAAUGUUUGGUUACCAAGAAAACACAAGGACUGAUCUGCUGCAUUAAAAGGUUAAUAUGUAGUUCUUCCAUUAGCUAGCCAUUUGGAACUAAGUCUUGUGGAGAACUUUUCAUAUUGGAGAUGGAUAUGAAAUUGGACCUGCCUCCACCUCAUUGAACUUCACUUUCAACAUAUGCAUUGAGAAUAUUUAAGUUAAGAUCAGUAUACUAACUAACCCUACAUAAAUUAACAUGUAUUGGUGAAAACACUUAUCCUUGUAAGUGAGAAAGCAAAAAAAGAAAAAAAAAAAAAGAAAAAAGAGAGAGACCUACCCAUUGAAGACUGUCUAUAAAUUGACAUGUUUCUCAUGCAAAAAUUUUCACCCCUCGCCUAAACGCAAAGAUUUGUAAUUGUUUGGAGACAGUACUCUAACAAUGGAGAAAGGUGUUAGUUUCCUAGUAACUGUGGCCCUCAUGGCAUUGGCUUCAUCUUUUGCCUCUGCCUCUGAUCCAAGCCCACUGCAGGACACUUGCGUUGCCAGACCCAAGAAUGCUGGUAUUUCUUUAGUAACCAACGAACUUGUCUCUAUUUUCACUAAUCUUUCCAAUUCAAUAUUGGGCACAUUAAUGCAGUAGCCAUUGCUGGUCUGAGCAGCCAAAAUCCAGGUGUAAUCACCAUAGCCAAUGCAGUGUUUGGAUCAAAUCCACCCAUCAAUCCCGAUUUCCUGGCAACGGCCUUCCAGUUGGACAAGAAGGUGGUUGAAUUCCUUCAAGCACGAUUCUAGUGGGGAAAUAGAGAAAAUGAAGAAGCUAUGAACCUUUGGUUUUCUUGCUUGAAUGACUAUUUGUGAUGUUCAAUUACCUCAUUACAAUAAGAGGGGUUUAUUACUUUAUUUUGUAGCUCUUUUGGUGUGGAUUUUGAUCCUGAUAUUAAAAUAAAGCAGUUUGUCUGUUAGGCAUCUUCUUCUGUCUCCAUCUCAAUAUUUGUCUUAAAAAAUCUCAUCUUGUGAAAAAACAACUGGAUAACAACUCUCAGUUGAUUGAUUAACCUGCAUGUGCAGAAUGUUUAUUAAGAAGGAAUACUUAGCUAGUUGUAAAACAGUACUACUGUUACUUCCAGCAUAAGUGUCAUGAAAAUUGUGAAGAAAGAAUGGAAAUGAAAACCCAGAAAUCUUAUGACAUCUACUGUAGACAAAUUAAUGUCUUAAAUAAUCUUUUCAUAAUAAUAGAAUGAGAAUCUUUUUAGCAAAUUGAACUUAUACAAAUCAUUUUCUUUUCGUAAAUAAAGUUUGUAAAGAAAUUAUUUUCUUUAUAAAUAAAAUCAAAUUAAAAUAUUUUUGUAAAUAAACUAAAAAUUAAUGUCCUAAGUAAAAAUCAUUUUUAUUGUCAAAUUGGAAUUUUUUGAAUAAAUUCUAUCCAAAUAGAAUUGAAUCAAAUCAUUUAUUGGAAAUAAAUAAAUAAAUUAAAAUCUUGAAAAAGUAAUAUUUAAAAUAUCUUUUUGUAAUCAAUUUAAUAAAUCGGUUUGUAUAAUUCUAAUGUCAUUUAUUUUGUACAUUUUUGUAAUUUAAUUUUAUCAUUAUUUUCUUGUAUAUUAAUUUGUCUCUUUAAUCUUGAUAUUCAUGAUUGAUCAAUUAACUGUCAUAAUUCAUUUCGUUUGUUUAGUAAAUAUUGUUAGUAUACAUGCUUAGAGGAGUAUUACGACUUAUUACUGUACCUUCCUGAUAGGCAACCUGACCCUUGAAUAUAGACUUGAUUUUACAAACAUGUCUUUUCUAAAUGAGGAGUUACACAAAAUUUUCUUUCUUAUUUUGUUCUCUUUUAAAAAAUAAAUUAAAAUAAGUGGCAACCCUAAUUUUUUUAUAAAAAAAAAAAAAAAAUCAAAUUUUCACAAUAAAAAUGAGUCUCACUGUCGAGUGGGAACACACGCAAAAAAUACGGGUCAACAUGUAUCCAAUUGAUUGGGGUCAAUGUCAAGAUGUGUGAUAAAGAUGCAAAUUUGAAUAUGAAUCCUGCCAUUGAUUGAAUCUUGAACUACCCGAUAGUGGUUGUAACAAGUGAGAUAAGUUGCUAAGGUUUGCGUUGAAAAGUUCAGCCAUGGAAAGUUACUAGUCAUCCAAAUAUGUAUAUAAAUCAAAGUGCACAUUCUAAAUCAAAGAAAUCAGCCUCCUUAAGCAAAAGACCUUACAAUUCUUAGAGUAUGUUUGGUAGUAAUUUUAGGAAGUGUUUUUAACUUUUUUAAUAAUUGAAAAAUAAGAAUUUUGAAGUAUUAAAAAAUGUUAGAAACACUUCCUAAAAUCACUAUCAAACGCACUUUUAAUGUAAUUUGCUCUAUCUACCACUUGAUGUGGAUGUUAAGAUUGAUAUCCUUGGUCAUUGCCUAUAAUCCUAUAUCUAUAAUUGCAAGAAGACAUACAUUGAAACAUGAAUACCCUUUCACUAUGUUUGGUUUAUGGAAAAUACUAAGAAAAGAAAAUGUUUUUCUUAUAUUUAGUUUUAUUAUGAAAAAUAAGAAAAAAUAAAAUAUAAUUAUAAUUAAUUAAAAUUUUAUGUAUUUUAAAAUUAUUUAAUAUUUAUAUAAUGAAGGAAAAUAAAUGAAACGAGCUUGAAAAAGUAUAUAAAAAUAAUUUAUUAAUUAUAACUUGUAUGCGACUAUUUUGUACUUUAAUCCCGUUUUUCUUUUAUCCUCUUGUAGGUACCUUGAUUUUAUAUAUUUGUAUCUUUAUUCAAUGAUUUAGAUUUCAUAUAUUUGUAUCUUUAAUUGAGAUUGCAAGAUCUGUACGGAUUCAGAUUAGGGAUGGCAACGCUAUAAGCUUAAGAUAAGUUACUCAUAUCCCAAUCCAUUAUAUUUAUUCGUAUAUGUUAUCAUCCCCACCAAAAAAAGAAAUUAAAUGGGAUGGGACGGGUAUAGGAAAUUCUCAUGCCUACCCCAUGCUAUCCCGUUUUUUAUUUAUUUAUUUUUCAAUUUUUAUUUCUAAAAUUUUAAGAAAAUUAAUAUUUUAAAUAUGUUAAAAAAAUUGAAAACUGAAAAAAGAAAUCAAUUAAAAGAACUUUUUAUUUAACAUUAUACAUAAUUAGGCUGAGGUAGGAUGAAACAAACUCAUACCCAAAAUCACCCCGAAUCAAUCUCGGGUUUUAAAAAAUUUCUCAAAUUCAAGAUGAGACAAAAUCAUAUCCAAAACUAUCUCGAAUCCAUCCUAGAUUUUAAAAAUUUUCUCAAAUUUAUCUAAACUCGUUUAUCAUUAUCUCAAAACGAGCCCAUUAAGGGUAGGACGAGUACUAAAUAAAAUUGGUAUAUUAUCAUCCCUAAUCAAGAUCCUAAAAUUUUUCUUUAUGAUAAUGAAAACAACAAUCAUAGUCGUCAUCUCUCUAUCAGUUUACUUGUUAGGUUUGAUCAAAUACACCUUAUGUGUUGCCUUUGGGCAACCUAGCUCUCUCAAUCAUUGUCUAAAGUUCGGGUGUUUGUUUAUUUUUUUAAUUCAUUUUGUCUUAAGUUUUUUAUUAUUAAAUAAAAUUUCUUUUUGUUACUUUAAACACCUCUAAUAAUUAUACUUUUUAUUUUUUAUAUUUAUAUUUAUCAAGUUUAUAACUGUAAAAUUUAUAAAAAUGUUAGUUUUUUGUUUUUAAAAAUAAUAAAAAGUGAUAUUUAAAGGGUCAAGUGGGCCAGCAUGAUGGCACGAUGGGUUGUUUCCUUAGGCCCACCACGACCCGCUCCUUUGGGCCAUGCCGGCCUGACUCGGUCUUUUGGCGCACUUGGCCACAGGCCAAAAUGGGUGGCUCGACCCAUUGGACACCUCUAGUAGUUACAUGUCUAGCAUCCAAACGUUAGACCAGAUGAGUUUUGUCAAACCCAACCCAUUCAUCCCCUUUGCCUCAUGUUGGCCACCCGGUUCGGACCAGCCUUGACAUGAACGGCAAGGUCCAAUGGAUUAGGUUGAUUUAGGGUCUCGAUUAUUUUUGUUUAAAUAAAUUGCAAAGAAAAAAAAAACUUGGUUUGGAUAAAUAAAUUUCAAUUGUUUUUAAAAUAGGUUUUUAUUUUAUUUUUUGUAAAAUUUUUUAUAAAUUCAAUUUAUACAAUAUUAAUUAUAUGUAAUUGAAGUCUUAUUAAAGAUUUUUUAAAAAAUAGUUUUUAAAUUAAAGAUAAAUUAAAAAAAAUCAUAAAAUAUGAAAUUAAUAUUAUAAUAAAAUCAUAAAUUAUGGUUUUUAUUUAAAAUGAUACUAUUUUAAGAUAUGAUUUAUUUAUUUUUAUAAGAAUGAAUAAUACUAAUUUUAAAAUAAUAAAAGGGUGAUAUAUUUUAUUUGAAAUAAAUUUAAAAAUAAAUAAAUUUUAUUUUUUUAAUACGUAAAUAAGUCAUGUUUUUCAUUAUAUCUACACCCGAGAAUUUAAACUUGACCCAAACUUCAACUAAAAAGACCUAUAUCCAACACAGUUAUUAGAGGUGUCCAAUGGGUCGUGUCGGGCCAACACAAUCCGAUGUUUAUCAGGCCAAUGCGUUGGCUCGACCCAUGCAAGCCAAAUAGGUGGCUUGACAUGGCCCAUAAGCCCAUGUGCUAAUCAUGUCGUGUUGUGCCAUGCCGGUGAGUCGUGCCCCAUGGGCACACACUUUAUUAAAAAUUUUAAUUAAUUUUUUUUAAUUCAUUUUGACUUAAGUUUUUUUAUUAUUAAAUAAAAUUUCUUUUUGUUACUUUAAACACCUCUAAUAAUUAUACUUUUUUAUUUUUUAUACACUUCUAAUAAUUAUACUUUUUUUUUAUAUUUAUAUUUAUCAAGUUUAUAACUGUAAAAUUUAUAAAAAUGUUAGUUUUUUGUUUUUAAAAAUAAUAAAAAGUGAUAUUUAAAGGGUUAAGUGGGCCAGCAUGAUGGCACGAUGGGUUGUUUCCUUAGGCCCACCACGACCCGCUCCUUUGGGCCAUGCCAGCUUGACUCGGUCUUUUGGCGCACUAGGCCACAGGCUAAAAUGGGUGGCUCGACCCAUUGGACACCUCUAGUAGUUACAUGUCUAGCAUCCAAACGUUAGACCGGGUGAGUUUUGUCAAACCCAACCCAUUCAUCCCCUUUGCUUCAUGUUGGCCACUCGGUUCAGACAUUGGGUUGAUUUGGGGUCUCGGUUCUUUUUGUUUAAAUAAAUUGCAAAGAAAAAAAAAACUUGGUUUGGAUAAAUAAACUUCAGUUGUGUUUAAAAUAAGUUUUUAUUUGAUUUUUUGUAAAAAAAAUUAUAAAUUCAAUUUAUACAAUAUUAAUUAUAUUUAAUUGAAGUCUUAUUAAAGAUUUUUUUAAAAAUAGUUUUUAAAUUAAAGAUAAAUUAAAAAAAUUCGUAAAAUAUGAAAUUAAUAUUAUAAUAAAAUCAUAAAUUAUGAUUUUUAUUUAAAAUGAUACUAUUUUAAGAUAUGAUUGAUUUAUUUAUUUAUUUAUUUUGAUAAGAAUGAAUAAUACUAAUUUUAAAAUAAUAACAGGGUGAUAUUUUAUUUGAAAUAAAUUUAAAAAUAAAUAAAAUUUAUUUUUUUUAAUACGUAAAUAAGUGAAGUUUUUCAUUAUAUCUACACCUGAGAAUUUAAUCAAGGAUAUAGUAUUUUGAACUAGUUUUGAGUCAUUCCUAUAAGCUUCAUUCAGUCAUUAUGGUUUAGACAAUUGAUAAUUAAUCUGUUGGCAUAAUUGAUUCUGCAAAACAGUAUCCUGAAUUUAGUAUCGAGGGAGGCAGAAACACAGCGAGAGAGAGAGAGAGAGAGAGAUGAUGCUUAACAAACAGACUGCAGACUGCUUUAUUGUAGUAAUAUGCCCAAAGUCCACACUAGAAGAGUUACAACCAGACCCUCUUAUUAUACCAUGUUUGUUACAAUGAGGGAAUUGAACAUCAUGAAUCGUCAUUCAAGCAAGGAAAUCAAAGGUUGACAGCUUAUUCUUUUUCUAUAUUUCCCCACUAGAAUCGUGCUUGAAGGUAUUCAACCACCCUCUUGUCCAACUGGAAGGCCCUUGCCAGGAAAUCAGGAUUGAUGGGUGGAUUUGAUCCAAACAUUGAACUGGCUAUGGUGAUUACACCUGGAUUUUGGCUGUUAAAAACGGCAAUGGCUACUGCAUUAGUGUGCCCAAUGUUGACUUGGAAGUGAAUGAGACUGAAAGGGAACACAAAAACAUCCCCCUUGUUCAGGACUUUGCUAAUGAAGCGGUGUUCAGGGUUGGAUGUGAUAAAGCCAACAAAGAGUUUUCCCUCCAAGACAAUGAAGAUCUCACUGGCACGAGGGUGAAAGUGAGGAGGGUUUUGACCAUUAGGUUCAUAAUCGAUACGAGACAGUGACACCCCAAGAGUGUUUUCUCCUGGUAAUUGAUCAACAUUUAUAAGAUUGACAAUUGAGCCCACAUAAUUUGAUGUGUUUCCUGGAAUAUUCAGCCCUUGAUACAAGAAAUCCUCGGCCACGGUCAGGUUUGGGUUCUUGCAGAACUUCCCAUUUACAAAUACUGCAUGAAGAAGGAAAAAAGAAAAGAUGUAUCCUUAGUAUCAAACCAUACUCACCAUAUCAAUAAAAAGAGUAGUACUGAAAAUAGCUAUAACAUCAUUGGUUACAAUAGAAAUACCAGCAUUCUUGGGCUCAUCAACUGCAACACAGGUGUCUUCCAGUGGGCUUGGAUCAUAGGCAGAGGCAAGAAACGAAGCCAAUGCCAUGAGGGCCACAGUUACCAUGAAACUAACGCCUUUCUUUAUUGUUAGAGUACUGUCUCCAACAAUCCCAAUCUUUAUCUUUCGGCGGGGAUAAUAAAUUUAGCCUGGAAAAGAUGUUAAUUUAUAGACCAGAGUCGGUGAGUUAGUCUUUGCAUAAACUCACCAAGUCUUCAAUGGGAAGUUUUUUCUUCUUUCUUUUUUCACUUUCGAGGACAAGCGGUUGCACCAAUACGUGUUGAUUUACGUAGGAUUAGUCAGUGUAUAGAUCUUAACCAGAAUAUAAAGCAAUGUACAAUCAGGUGGAGGCAGGUCCAAUUUAAUAUCAAUCUGCAUGAUCCAUACGUUUACAUUUAUAGUAGAGCUUUCUGCUCUUUUAGUAGUGUAUAGACAAGCAAAUAGAAGAUUACAGAGUAGGUGCCAGCUUGGAGUAUACAAUGACCCGCCCAUAUCAAACAUGGUUACUCCAUGAGGCUUGUGUAGGUUCAGUUUAAUGAGUAUCUAUAUAGCUUAAUUCACCAUUCAAAGUGUUGAGAGAUUGGCUGAUGAGAUUAAAUAUGUAGCCAAGUUCUGAGUUUCUAGCUCAUGUGCCUUCCACUGAGUGAAAAGUCCUUGGAUAAGCUCUGGCUUUCUGCUAUACGCUCAUUAGGCUUUCCUCAGUUACAAAAGCUUUGACUAUGAUUUUUACGCUUGUAGCCUUCGCUGUCUGAGCGGUUUCUAAGACUUUUUAAUUAGUUGCUUCUAAGUUGUCUUUAACAAGCAAGUCCGUAUUUUCUGGCGAGAAGCAAGAAAAUACCAAUUGAUUAGAUGAAGUCCUUCGACUAAUCUAUGCCCUAUACGUAAGGUAAUUAAGCAGUUACACUUUCCAAAUCUUCAAUGGAUGUCAUUUUUCGAAUUGAAAGGUUGAACUUCCUCAAGUUAUGCUCUAGACUCUAGAAUGAAUUCUACAUAAUCUUCGGUUUUAGGCCUUAUUCCUAGUUUAAAGCUAAGAAGUAAACCAGUGGACAGACCAUCUGUAAUCAGAUUGUGAUUAGUGUCAUGACCCAUUAGAUCUUUAUAAGAAGUUGGCCAUGGUUCAAAGUCACGGUAUCCGUCACCAAAUCGGUAAGUCCCGAGGUACAUCAGUUUCAACGUCACGGAUCGAUAUCGGAUGAUACGCAAAAAUUUAUAGUUUAAAAGCUCAAAACAAUUUAAAAAGAUUACAAAAAUAAAUACAAAUAAAUAAAGUUAAAAAUUAAGAAAUAAAAUUUUAUUAUGUAUAAAAUUAUUCAAAUUAUGAUAAAACAUACCUUUGUAAUGAUUUAUAAAAAUAUUAAAACUAUAAAAAAAAUAAUUUAAUCACUUAAUAUUAAAUAUGCAUCAUUAAAGAUGAAAAUAAUAAAAAGUGAAUUUAUAGUUUAUAAUUUUUUUAAAAUUAAAUAUUUUGAAUUUUUUAAAAAUAUUUUCAAUAUUUAAAAAAAUACAUCUAGGAAUCAUCUUUGAAAAAAAUAAACAUCAUUUUUCUUAUCAAAUGUAUUCUAAAUAAAACAAUUAUAAAAAUAAAGAAUUUUUAUUUGAAUGAGCAUAUUUGAAUAUAAUAUAUUUUUUCUAUACAUCUAUUCAUUUGAAUUGAAUUUUUAUAUUAAUAUUCAUUUCCUUUUUUAUUCAUGUAAACCUAAAUAUUCAUUAUUAAUGUACCAUAAUCCUAAUUCCCAUCAAAUUUGCAUUAUCCAUUUAAAUACAAUUAUUCACAACAUAUUCAUUAACUACUUAAAAAACAAAUACCCACCCAAAUUUGUAAUCCUAUCAAAUACCCAUAACCCAUUGGCAAACACGUAUUUCCUUUUUUUGGCACAAUACCCAUUUUCUCUCUAAAACAACACUUUGAGCUCUCUAUUUCUUUGCACAAUACCUAUAUUUGAAGGCUAAAAAAAUAGGCCUACAAAGAUACAAAAGGAUGGAGCUAGAAAUACAAGGAUGAAGAUGCACAAGGUUUGAAGACUCUAUACUCUCCACACUUCUUCACUUUCAUAUGUUUCCAUCAUCUUCUUUCAUCCACUAUUUUCGCUCCUAUAUUACCAUUUUUUCCCAUCACCCAUCACCCGAAGAGCUUAGUUUGAAUAUAAUCUUGGGGUUAUCUCAAAGUUUCUUUGUGAUUCAACAAGUUUUUUCAUGAGUCAACCAAAUAUUAGACUCAGGUAUCGGUUCAGUACUAGUCAUGGACAAGAUUUUAACCCUGUUUGAGCUCUCUAUUUCUUUGUACAAUACCAAUUUUUAAAGGCUCACAAAAUAACCCUAUGAAAAUACAAGAGGAUAGAGAUGCAAAUACAGGGAUGAAGAUGCAAAAGGUUUGAAGACUUUGAACUCUCCAUAUUCUUCGGUUUCAUGGGUUUCAAUCUUCUUCUCUCAUCAACUAUUUCUGCUCCAAUAUUACCAUUUUUUUCCAUCACCCAUGACCUGAAGAGCUUAGCUUGGACAUAAUCUUAGGGAUAUCUCAAAGUUUCUUUGUGAUUUAACAAGUUUAUUCAUGAUUCAACCAAAUAUUGGACUCGGAUAUCGGUCCGAUACCGAUCAUGGCUGAGGCAUAUAUGAAUCGGUUGAGUCGUACCGGUCUCGACCGAGAUUUUGAACCUUGUUUGAGCUUUCUAUUUCUUUGCACAAUACUAAUUUUUGAAGCCUUAUAAAAUAGCCCUACGAAGAUAUAAGAGGAUGAAGAUGCAAAUACAAGGAUGAAUAUGCAAAGGGUUUGAAGACUUUGAACUCUCCAUACUUCUUCACUACCAUAGGUUUCAAUCUUCUUCUCUCAUCCACCAUUUCCAUUCCAAUAUUACCAUUUUUUUUUCCAUCACCCAUCACUCAAAGAGCUUAGUUUGGACAUAAUCUUGGGGUUAUCUCAAAGUUUCUUUAUGAUUCAACAAGUUUAGUCAUGAGUCAACUAAAUAUUGGACUUGGGUAUCAGUCUGAUACUAGUCAUGACCAAGAUUUUGAACCCUUUUUGAGCUCUCUAUUUCUCUACAUAAUACCCAUUUUUGAAUGCUCACAAAAUAACCCUACAAAGAUACAAGAUGAUAGAGAUGCAAAUACAAGGAUGAAGAUGCAAAGGGUUUGAAGACUCUAAACUCUCCAUACUUCUUCACUUUCAUAGGUUUCGAUCUUCUUCUCUCAUCCGCCAUUUCAACUCCAAUAUUACCAUUUUUUUCCAUGACCUAUCACUCGAAGAGCUUAUUUUGGACAUAAUCUUGGGGUUAUCUCAAAGUUUCUUUUUUAUUCAACAAGUUUAUUCAUGAGUCAACCAAAUAUUGGACUUGAGUAUUAGUUCGGUACUGGUCAUGGCCGAGGUGGAUAUGACUUGGCCAAGUCAUACUGGUCUCAAUCGAGAUUUUGAACCCUAUUUGAACUCUCUAUUUCUUUGCACAGUACCCAUUUUUUAAGGCUAACAAAUUAGCCCUACGAAGAUAUAAGAGGAUUGAGAUGCAAAUAAAGAAAUGAAGAUGCAAAGGGUUUGAAGACUCUAAACUCUUCAUACUUUUUCACUUUCAUGGGUUUCAAUCGUCUUAUCUCAUCCACCAUUUUCGCUCCAAUAUUACAAUUUUUUUCCAUCACCCAUCACCCAAAAAGCUUAGUUUGAACAUAAUCUUGGAGUUAUCUCAAAGUUUAUUUUUUAUUCAACAAGUUUAUUCAUGAGUAAACCAAAUAUUGGACUCAAGUAUCAAUUCAAUAUCAAUCAUGGUUGAGGCGGAUAUGACUCGAACAAGUUGUACUUGUCUCAACCGAGAUUAUGAACCCUAUUUGAGCUCUCUAUUUAUCUCUACAAUACCCAUUUUUGAAGGCUUACAAAAUAGUCCUACGAAGAUACAAGAUGAUGGAGAUGCAAAUACAAGGAUGAAAAUCCAAAGAGUUUGAAGACUCUGAACUCUCCAUAUUUUUUCACUUUCAUGAGUUUUGAUUUUCUUCUCUUAUCUGCCAUUUCCGCUCCAAUAUUACCAUUUUUUCCAUUACCCAUCACUUGAAGAGCUUAGUUUGGACAUAAUAUUAAGGUUAUCUCAAAUUUUCUUUGUGAUUCAACAAGUUUAUUCAUAAGUCAGCCAAAUAUUGGACUUGGGUAUCUGUUCGAUACUAGUCAUAUAUGGUAGAGGCGGAUAUGACUCAACCAAGUUGUACUAGUCUCAACUAAGAUUUUGAACCCUAUUUGAGCUCUCUAUUUCUCUGUACAAUACCCAUUUUAAAGGCUCACAAAAUAGCCCUACCAAGAUACAAGAUAAUGAAGAUGCAAAUAUUACUCAUUGAAUAUCUAGCAAUAAUUGGUUUAUUUUUUAUUUUUGAAUUAUUUUUUAAAAUUAAAUAUCUAUUAAUGAAACAAAAAUACUAAUGAUUAAUACCAAAAAGUGCUAUUUUGUAGAUCUAAUUAUAAUGGUUUUAAGCACCUUUGAGUAGUAAUCAUAUUCAUUUAACCCAAUUAAUUCAUUAAGGUCCUUAGUAAUUGGUUUUAACCAUUUUGUGGCAAGUUUACAUGUUUUUAUCAGCUUAUGAAUCAAUUCAAGCAUGCCAAAUGAUGGAGGAGCUACUUAGACAAGUUAAAGCAAGGAUUUUGGAAGUUUACAGGCUUGAAUUUCAAGUGGAAACACGAGCACAAGCAAUGGAGAAGAGGAAAACAGAGUGAAGAAAACAGAGGACAGCAGCUGCAGUCUUCUUUUGCACUUUUGGAGCACUUCCCGAAGUCCAUUUUCUACAUUCUAUAUACCAUUUCAAAGCUCAGGAAGUCAAUAAUCCAAUGCUUCAAACGGUGCGUGAUUCGGAGUUGAAACGAAGGAGUUACAGCCAUUGCAAUCAGAUCACUCCAAGCUGCUGCGAAAUCAGCCUUUUGUUGCGAGAAUUUCGCAGCCUUUUUGUACAGUGCAAUGGAAUUCCUCCUGAAGCUACCCGAUAUAUGCUGCAAGCUGGAAUGCUGAGAACCUCAAGGUGGAAGCCAACUUCGCAGCCCUGCGAAGAUAGCUUGGUGUUGCGAAAUUAUUUCGCAACCCUCUUGAGUGUCUGCGAAAUCUCGCAGACCUCGUUUUCACCUGCGAAAUGUCCUUAGUGCUUCCUGAUAUUUGUGCACCGACUCUUUUGGAUAUUUUUCUUCAGAUAUUUUUGUAUAAAUUUCCAUUUUCUCCUUGUUUUCAGCCACUCAUGUAAUUCCUUAGCUAGGAAGUNNNNNNNNNNNNNNNNNNNNNNNNNNNNNNNNNNNNNNNNNNNNNNNNNNNNNNNNNNNNNNNNNNNNNNNNNNNNNNNNNNNNNNNNNNNNNNNNNNNNGAGAGAGAUUUAGUGUUUGAACCCAUUAAUGGGAAGCAUCUGUACAACACCGGUUGGAGAAGGAACUAUAGGUUAAUUCUCUAAGGCGAGGAAAAAAAACAAGUGACCGGAACUCCCUUUUUGUAUGAGGAACCUGAGCCUAGUGAUCUGAACUCCAAGAAACACUUUUCUUUGUAAGUAAAAUCAGUUACUAUUUUUGGUUAGCUUAAAACCAAACCUUUUUCAUUCAAACAUCUUUAUGUUUUCUUAAGCUAACCUUGAAAUGAAAAGGCACCAAUUCAGCUUUGAAUUAAUAUCAUUUGUGAAGUGAAAACCCAUCCCAGUGGACGAUCCUAGAGCCACUAUGCUAUAGUAGCUUUGUCUUUGCUACCCUAGUAUAUGGUGUAAUAGGUUAUAAAUUUUGUUGAUUACUCCCUCAAUCAAGGAGCACCAGCUGGACACGAAUCAGCUGAGACACCAAUUGGGCACGAAUCAACUAACUCUUUCUUGAUUUUCUUCUCUCAUCCACCAUAUCCGCUCCAAUAUUGCCAUUUUUUCCAUCACCCAUCACCCUAAGAGCUUAGUUUGGAUAUAAUCUUAGGGUUAUCUCAAAGUUUCUUUUUUAUUCAACAAGUUUAUUCAUGAGUUAACCAAAUAUUGGACUCGGGUAUUAGUUCGGUACCGGUCAUGGCCAAGGUGAAUAUGACUUGGCCGAGUCAUACCAGUCUCAAUUGAGAUUUUGAACCUUGUUUGAACUCUCUAUUUCUUUGCACAAUACCCAUUUUUUAAGGCUAACAAAAUACCCUAACAAAGAUACAAGAGGAUUGAGAUGCAAAUAUAGGAAUGAAGAUGAAAAGGGUUUGAAGAGUCUAAACUCUUCAUACUUUUCCACUUUCAUGGGUUUCAAUCUUCUUCUCUCAUCCACCAUUUUUGCUCUGGUAUUACUAUUUUUUUUCCAUCACCCAUCAUCCAAAAAGCUUAGUUUGGACAUAAUCUUGGAGUUAUCUCAAAGUUUCUUUUUUUAUUCAACAAAUUUAUUCAUGAGUCAACCAAAUAUUGGACUAGAGUAUCGAUCCGAUACUGAUAAUGGCUGAGGCGGAUAUGACACGAUCAAGUCGUACGAGUCUUAACCGAGAUUAUGAACCCUGUUUGAGUUCUCUAUUUCUAUACACAAUACCCAUAUUUGAAGGCUCACAAAAUAGUCCUACGAAGAUACAAGAUGAUGGAGAUGCAAACACAUGGAUGAAAAUCCAAAGCGUUUGAAGGCUCUGAACUCUCCAUAUUUCUUCGCUUUCAUGGGUUUCGAUCUUUUUCUCUCAUCCACCAUUUUCGCUCCAAUAUUACCAUUUUUUCCAUUACCCAUCACGCAAAGAGCUUAGUUUGGACAUAAUAUUAUGGUUAUCUCAAAUUUUCUUCAUGAUNNNNNNNNNNNNNNNNNNNNNNNNNNNNNNNNNNNNNNNNNNNNNNNNNNNNNNNNNNNNNNNNNNNNNNNNNNNNNNNNNNNNNNNNNNNNNNNNNNNNAAGAGCUUAGUUUGGACAUAAUAUUAUGGUUAUCUCAAAUUUUCUUCAUGAUUCAACAAAUUUAUUCACAAGUCAACCAAAUAUUGGACUUGGGUAUCAGUCCGAUACUAGUCAUGGUGGAGGCAGAUAUGACUCGGUUGAGUCGUACCAAUCUCGACUAAGAUUGUGAACCCUGUUUGAACUCUCUAUUUCUUUGUACAAUAUCCAUUUUGAAGGCUCACAAAAUAGCCCUACCAAGAUACAAGACGAUGGGGAUGCAAAUAUUACUCCUUGAAUUACUGGCAAUAAUUAGUUUAUUUUUUUAAUUUUGAACUAUUUUUUAAAAUUAAAUAUUUGUUAAUGAAACAAAAGCACUAACUCUUUCUUGAUUUGGAGUUUAUUUGUUGAAUGAAAAUUUUUGGAUAAUUAUGGUUUUGCGCAUAAGAGAAAUAAUGAACCAAUUGUUGUUCAUAAAUUCAUAAAAUUGGAUUAGCAUUUGAGUUUCAAAUUAUUUUUAAAAGUGCUUACAUUCAUUAAUGAAUCUAAUACACUAAGUUCCUCUUUGGGAUGAAUUUUGAAUGAGGCUAAAAGCUUUUCCUAACACUAGAAAGCAAUCUUAAAAAAAUGGUUGAAAAUCACUUUUAAAAAUCUAAAUAAUGACAUGAUUCUUCGAACUAUCACAUUUUUGUUAUAUUAUACAUUGCCAAAACAUUCUCUGAACAUAUUUUAAAAAAAAUUUAUAAUAUGCAUUUCCUACAAAGCAAUCUUAAAAAUAUAUAUAUAUAUAUAUCAUCAAUAAUUAGAUUAUGGUGUGAUAGUGAUUUUAGCAAUUGUUUUUAGCCUUUUUAAUACUUUAAAAAUAACAGCAGUGAAUUUAGGAAACGUUUCUAGCUUUUUUAACGCUUGAAUGAUAUAAAUUUUCAAGUAUUAGAAAAGUUAAAAAUGUUUCCUAAAAUCACUACUAAACAGGCUUUAAUCAGUAGUAGUAAUUAAUUGGUAUUGAAUAACUGUAAUGCAGUUUCCUGAAUGUAGUAUUGAGGGAGAGAGAAACAGAGAGGAAGAGAGAGAUGCUUAACAAACAAAUUGCUUUAUUGUAGUAAUAUGCCCAAAGUUCACACCAGAAGAGUUACAACUAGACCCUCUUAUCAUACUAGGAUUGUUAUAACGAGGGAAUUGAACAUCAUAAAUAGUCAUUCAAGCAAGGAAAUGAAAGGUUGAUAGCUUCUUCUUUUUCUAUAUUCCCCCACUAGAAUCGUGCUUGAAGGUAUUCAACCACCUUCUUGUCCAACUGGAAGGCCCUUGCAAGGAAAUCAGGAUUGAUGGGUGGAUUUGAUCCAAACACUGCAUUGGCUAUGGUGAUUACACCUGGAUUUUGGCUGUUCAGACCAGCAAUGGCUACUGCAUUAGUGUGCCCAAUGUUGAAUUGGAAGUGAAUGAGACCGAUAGGGAACACAAAAACAUCCCCUUUGUUGAGGACUUUGCUAAUGAAUCGGUUUUGAGGGUUGGAUGUGACAAAGCCAACUAAGAGUGUUCCCUCCAAAACAGUGAGGAUCUCACUGGCACGGGGGUGAAUGUGAGGAGGGUUUUGACCAUAGGGUGCAUAAUUGAUACGAACCAGUGAUAUCCCAAGAGUGUUUUGUCCCGGUAGUACAUCAACAUUUAUAAUAGUGACAUUUGAGCCCACUAGAUUUGCUGUGUUUCCUGGAAUAUUCAGCCCUUGAUACAAGAAAUCGUCAGCCACGGUCAGGUUUGGGUUCUUGCAGAACUUUCCAUUUACAAAUACUGCAUUUAAAAAAACAAAAGGAAAAUAAAAGAUAGGUCAUUAGUAUCAAACCACCAUCAAUGGAAAGAUUAGUGAAAAUAGUGACAAGAUCAUUGGUUACUAAAGAAAUACCAGCAUUCUCGGGUUCAUCAAUGGCAACACAAGUGUCCUGCAGUGGCCUUGGAUCAAAGGCAGAGGCAAGAGAGGAAGCCAAUGCCAUGAGGGCAACAGUUACCAGGAAACUAACACCUUUCUUCAUUGUUAGAGAACUGUCUCCAACAAUCACAAUCUUUAUCUUUAGGUGGGGGUGAGAAAUUUUGCAUGGGAAAGAUGUUAAUUUAUAGACCAGUCAAUGAGUAAAGUCUUUGCAUAAACUCACAAAGUCUUCAAUGGGUAGUUUUUUCUUUUCUUUUUUUUCUUUCUUUUUUCUUUUUUUCACUUUCAACGUCAAGUGGUUACACCAAUACAUGUUGAUUUAUGUAGGAUUAGUUAGUUACUAUACUGAUCUUAACUAGAAAAUUCUCCAUGCGUGUGGAAAGUGAAGUUCAAUUAUUGAUGGAGGCAGGUCCAAUUUCAUAUCAACCUGCAUGAUCCAUACAUUUACAUAAAUAGUAGAUUGAAUAUUACUACCAUUCAAACACUGAAAAAUAUGUAUAGUGUAUUGACAAGAAAAUAGAAGAUUACAGAGUAAGUGCAGGCUUGGACUAGACAAUAACCCACCCAUUCCAAACAUGGUUACUCUAUGAGGCUUGUGUAGGUUCAGUUUAAUGAGUAUCUAUAUAGCUUAAUUAACCAGUCAAAGUUUUCAGAGAUUGGCUGAUGAGAUUGAAUAUGUAGCCAAGUUCUGAGUUUCUAGCUCAUGUGCCUUCCACUGAGUGAAAAAUCCUUGGAUAAGCUCUAGGGUUGCUUCACUUUAGUGAAAAAUAGGGAUAAAUUCAAAGAUUUUCUGCUAUGCUCAUUAGGCUUUCCUCAGUUACAAAAGCUUUGGCCAUGAUUUUUAUGCUUGCAGCCUGCCCUGUCUGAGCAGUUGGCUCAAAAGUUAUUAUUAUUAUUAUUAUUUUGGUUUGAGAGAGAAAGAGAUCUUAAUAAACACCUUUAAACUAAGACUUUUUAAUUAGUUGUUUAUAAGUUGUCUUUAACAAUCACGUCGGUGUUUCCUGGUGAGAAGCAAGAAACCUUGAUUUGAAAAAUACCAAUAAAUUAGAUGAAGUCCUCAGGUUAACCUAUGUUUUAUAGGUGAGGUAAGCAGUUACACUUUCCAAGUCUUCAAUGGAUGUCAUUUUUCAAAUUUAAAGGUUGAACCAUUCUUCGAUCACACUCCUUUCUCAUCCUUUUCUCCUCAACUUAUGCUCUAGACUCUUGAAUGGAUUCUACAUAAUCUUCGGGUUUUAGGCCUUAUUCCAGUGUAAAGCUAAGAAGUAAACCAGUGGGCAGGCCAUCUAUAAUCAGUUUGUGAUUAGUGUCAUGACCUAGAUCUUUAUAAGAAGUUGGGGUCAGAGGUUUGUUUACAGUGGAUGUCAUAAGAUUUAUGGGCUUUCAUUUCUAUUCUUUCCUCACUAUUUCAUAACACUUAUGCUUCUCCCACCAUUCAUAUGGUUUUACUUGGACAUCUUAAUGAGUUUUUUCGAUCUCAGUUGAUGGGAGUUAUAAUGGGAUAAUUUAGAGAAGCAAAUUAAUGGCAUCUUUCCAUUUCUGAAUUGUAUGGGGUUGUUGCCUCAAUGUUCAUGUCUUCAUCACCAAUUCUGUCAGCAGUAUGCUAGAAGUAACAGUAGUUCUGUUUUAUGCAUAUCCUGUAUUUAAUCAAUCAAUCAACUGAGAUUUGUUAUUCAGUUGCUUCUUUUACAAGUGAAAUCUCAAAGAUUUGUUUAAGAUUUUUUAAUGAAAACAUAGGGUAAUCCUGGAUAUGGCAUUGGAUAGUGAGAGAAGAAGAUGGCUAAUAGACAAACUGCUUUAUUUUAAUAUUAGGACCAAAGUCCACAUCAAACAACCUACAACAUAAAGAAAUAAACCCUCUUAUUCUAGGAUGACUAUAAUGAGGUAAUUGAACACCACAAAUAGUCAUUUAAGCAAGGAAAGCAAAGGCUGGUAGCUUCUUAAUUUUCUAUAUUUUCCAACUAGAAUAGUGCUUGAAGGUAUUCAACCACCUUCUUGUCCAACUGGAAGGCCCUGGCAAGGAAAUCAGGAUUGAUGGGUGGAUUUGAUCCAAACACUGCAUCGGCUAUGGUGAUUACACCUGGAUUUUGGCUGUUCAGACCAGCAAUGGCUACUGCAUUAGUGUGCCCAAUGUUGAAUUGGAAGUGAAUGAGACCUAUAGGGAACACAAAAACAUCUCCCUUGUUGAGGACUUUGCUAAAGAGGCGGUUUUGAGGGUUGGAUGUGACAAAGCCAACUAAGAGUGUUCCCUCCAAGACAGUGAGGAUCUCAGUGGCACGAGGGUGAGUGAUCAUGUGAGGAGGGUUUUGACCAUAGGGUGCAUAAUCUAUACGAACCAGUGAUAUCCCAAGAGUGUUAAGUCCUGGUAUUGCAUCAACAUUUACUGUAGUGACAUUUGAGCCCACUCGAUUUGCUGUGUUUCCUGGAAUAUUCAGCCCUUGAAAGAAGAAAUCCUCGGCCACAGUCAGGUUUGCGUUCUUGCAGAACUUUCCAUUUACAAAUACUGCAUUUAAAAAGAAGGGGAAAAGAAAAGAUAGGUCGUUAGUAUCAAACCAUUAUCAAUGGAAAGAGUAGUGAAAAUGGCAAUAAGAUCAUUGGUCACUAUACAUAUAUAGAAAUAUCAGCAUUCUUGGGUUCAGGAAUGGCAACACAAGUGUCCUGAAGUGGGCUUGGAUCAAAGGCAGCGACAAGAGAGGAAGCCAAUGCCAUGAGGGCAACAGCAACCAGGAAGCUGACACCUUUCUUCAUUGUCAGAGUACUGUCUCCAACAAUCAGAGUCUUUAUCUUUAGGUGGGGGUGAUAAAUUUUGCAUGGGAAAGAUGUUAAUUUAUAGACCAGAAUCGGUGAGUUAGUCUUUGCAUAAACUCACAAAGUCUUUAAUGGGUAGUUUUUUUUUUUCAUUUUCAAGGACAAUUAGUUACACCAAUACAUUUUAAUUUAUGUAGGAUUAGUUAGUAUACUGAUCUUAACUAGAAUAUUCUCCAUGAGUGUGUGGAUAGUGGAGUUCAAUUAUAGGUGGAGGCAGGUCAAAUUUCAUAUCAAUCUACAUGAUCCAUGCAAUAACAUAAAUAGUAGAGCUUUCUGCUCUUUUAGUUUUAGUACCCAAACACUGAAAAAUCUCUAAAGUAGUGUAUAGACAAGCAAAUAGAAGAUUACAGAGUAGGCCAUCGGACUAGACAAUAAUCCACCCAUUUCAAACAUGGUUACUCCAUGAGGCUUGUGUAGGUUCAGUUUAAUGAGUAUCUAUAUAGCUUAAUUCACCAUUGAAAGUGUCCAGAGAUUGGCUGAUGAGAUUGAAUAUGUAGCCAAGUUCUGAGUUUCUAGCUCAUGUGCCUUCCACUGAGUGAAAAAUCCUUGGAUAAGCUCUGGGGUUGCUUCAGUUUAAUGAAAUAUUGGGAUAAAUUCAAAGAUUUUCUGCUAUGCUCGUUGGGCUUUCCUCAGUUAAAAAAGCUUUGACUACUUGCAGCCUGCCCUAUCUGAGCAAUUGGCUCAAAAGUUAUUAUUAUUAUUAUCAUGUUUUUUGAUAGUGACUUUAUUUAUGUAUUAUGAGAGGGAAAGAGAUGCUUAACAAACACCUUUGAACUAAGACUUUCUAAAUUAUUUGUUUACAAGUUUUCUUUAACAAUCAAAUCUGUGUUUUUUGGUAAGAAGCAAGAAACCUUGCAUUGGAAAAAUACCAAUUAUUUAGAUAAAGUUCUCAGAUUAGUCUAUGUUUUAUACAUAAGGUAAGCAGAUACACUUUCCAAGCUUUCCAAGUCUUCAAUGGAUGGCCUUUUUUUAAUUUAAAGGUCGAACCCUUAUUCAACAACUACACCCCUUUCCCAUCCUCAACUCAAAGUGGACUCUGCAUAAUCUUUGGGUUUUAGGACUUAUUCGAGGGUAAAUCUAAAGGAGUAACCCUGUGGACAGACCAUCUAUGAUCAGUUUGUGAUUAGUGUCAGACCCAUUAGAUCUUUAUAAGUUGAGGUGAGAAGUUUGCUGCAUGAAUUCGAAUCUACUUUCUUUCCACUUCUUAUCAUCAUGGAGUACAUGACGAAAACUUCAGAUAAAAAUGAAAACUCAAAUUAAACUGUUUUCUUUUCCAUUCUUUCUUCACUAUGUUCAUGACACUUGUGCUUCUCCUACCAUUCAAAUGGUUUAUCUGGACAUCUUAAUUAGUUUCUUCGAUCUUAGUUGAUGGGUUAUAGUGGGAUAAUUUAGAGAAGCAAAAUGGCACCUUUCCAUUUCUGAAUUGUAUGCAGUUGUUGCCUCAAUGUUCAUUUAUUCAUCACCAAUUCCGCCAGCAGUAUGCUGGAAGUAACAGUAGAACUAUUUUACAAUCAGUCAAGUAUUGCUUCUUCAUCAAAAUUCUGCAUAUACUGUAUAUAAUCAAUCAAGCAACUGAGAUUUGUGAUCCAGUUGUUUUUCCACAAGUGAAAUAUCAAAGAUUUGGAUAAGAUUUUUUAAGACAAAUAUUGAGAUGGAGACAGGAGUAGAAGAUGCCUAACAGACAAACUGCUUUAUUUUAAUAUUAGGACCAGAGUCCACACCAAAAGAGCUACAAAAGAAAGUAAUAAACCCUCUUAUUCUAGGAUGAUUGUAAUGAGGUAAUUAAACAUCACAAAUAGUCAUUCAAGCUUGCAAAUCAAAGGUUCCUAGCUUCUUCAUUUUCUCUAUUUCCCCACUAGAAUCGUGCUUGAAGGUAUUUGACCACCUUCUUGUCCAACUGGAAGGCCCUUGCCAGGAAAUCAGGAUUGAUGGGUGGAUUUGAUCCAAAUACUGCAUUGGCUAUGGUGAUUACACCUGGAUUUUGGCUGUUCAGACCAGCAAUGGCUACUGCAUUAAUGUGCCCAAUGUUGAAUUAGAAGUGAAUGAGACCAAUAGGGAACACAAAAACAUCCCCCUUGUUUAGAACUUUGCUAAUGAGGCGGUUUUGAGGGUUGGAUGUGACAAAGCCGACUAAGAGUGUCCCUCCAAGACGGUGAGGAUCUCAGUGGCACGAGGGUGAGUGUGAGGAGGGUUUUGACCGUAGGGUGCAUAAUCGAUACGAACCUGUGAUAUCCCAAGAGUGUUAAGUUCUGGUAUUGCAUCAACAUUUACUGUAGUGACAUUUGAGCCCACUCGAUUUGUUGUGUUUCCUGGGAUAUUCAGCCCUUGAUAGAAGAAAUCCUCGGCCACAGUCAGGUUUGGGUUCUUGCAGAACUUUCCAUUUACAAAUACUGCAUUUAAAAAAAGGGAAAAGAAAAGAUACAUCAUUAGUAUGAAACCACCAUCAAUGGAAAGAUUAAUGAAAAUAGUGACAAGUUCAUUGGUUACUAAAGAAAUACCAGCAUUCUUGGGUUCAUCAAUGGCAACACAAGUGUCCUGCAGUGGGCUUGGAUCAGAGGCAGAGGCAAAAGAUGAAGCCAAUGCCAUGAGGGCCACAGUUACUAGGAAACUAACACCUUUCUCCAUUGUUAGAGUACUGUCUCCAACAAUCACAAAUCUUUGUGUUUAGGUGAGGGGUGAAAAUUUUUGCAUGAGAAACAUGUCAAUUUAUAGAUGGUCUUCAAUGGGUAGGUCCUUUUUUUUUUUUUUUUUUUUUUUUGCUUUCUCACUUACAAGGAUAAGUGUUUUCAUCAAUACGUGUUAAUUUAUGUUGGGUUAGUUAGUAUACUGAUCUUAACUUAAAUAUUUUCAAUGCAUAUGUUGAAAGUGAAGUUCAAUCAGGUGGAGGCAGGUCCAAUUUCAUAUCCAUCUCCAAUAUGAAAAGUUCUCCACAAGAUUUAGUUCCAAAUGGCUAGCUAAUGGAAGAACUACAUAUGGCAAAAUGAAGUGAAAGUAUUCAGGAUUACUUAACCUUUUAAUGCAGCAGAUCAGUCCUUCUGUUUUCUUGGUGACCAAACAUUGAACGAACUCUAAAGUAGUGUAUAUACAGCAAAAAGAAGACCAUUAUUAUUAUCACUAUGGUCUUUGAUAGUGAAUAUAUUUAUGUCUCAUGUACAAAUAUAUUUCCACACUUCUUCACUUUCAUAUGUUUCCAUGCAUCUUCUUUCAUCCACUAUUUUCGCUCCUAUAUUACCAUUUUUUUCCAUCACCCAUCACCCAAAGAGCUUAGUUUGAAUAUAAUCUUGGGGUUAUCUCAAAGUUUCUUUGUGAUUCAACAAGUUUUUUCAUGAGUCAACCAAAUAUUAGACUCAGAUAUCGGUUCAGUACUAGUCAUGGCCAAGAUUUUAACCCUGUUUGAGCUCUCUAUUUCUUUAUACAAUACCCAUUUUUAAAGGCUCGCAAAAUAACCCUAUGAAGAUACAAGAGGAUAGAGAUGCAAAUACAGGGAUGAAAAUGCAAAAGGUUUGAAAACUCUUAACUCUCCAUAUUUCUUCGGUUUCAUGGGUUUCAAUCUUCUUCUCUCAUCAACUAUUUCUGCUCCAAUAUUACCAUUUUUUUUCCAUCACCCAUCACCUGAAGAGCUUAGCUUGGACAUAAUGUUAGGGAUAUCUCAAAGUUUCUUUGUGAUUUAGCAAGUUUAUUCAUGAUUCAACCAAAUAUUGGACUCGGGUAUCGGUUCGAUACCGAUCAUGGCUGAGGCAUAUAUGAAUCGGUUGAGUCGUACUGGUCUCGACCAAGAUUUUGAACCCUGUUUAAGCUUUCUAUUUCUUUGCACAAUACUAAUUUUUGAAGCCUUAUAAAAUAACCCUACGAAGAUACAAGAGGAUGAAGAUGCAAAUACAAGGAUGAAUAUGCAAAGGGUUUGAAGACUUUGAACUCUCCAUACUUCUUCACUACCAUAGGUUUCAAUCUUCUUCACUCAUCCACCAUUUCCAUUCCAAUAUUACCAUUUUUUUUCCAUCACCCAUCACUCGAAGAGCUUAGUUUUGACAUAAUCUUGGGGUUAUGUCAAAGUUUCUUUAUGAUUCAACAAGUUUAUUCAUGAGUCAACUAAAUAUUGGACUUGGGUAUCAGUCUGAUACUAGUCAUGGCCAAGAUUUUGAACCCUUUUUGAGCUCUCUAUUUCUCUACAUAAUACCCAUUUUUGAAGGCUCACAAAAUAACCCUACAAAGAUACAAGAUGAUAGAGAUGCAAAUACAGGGAUGAAGAUGCAAAGGGUUUGAAGACUCUGAACUCUCCAUACUUCUUCACUUUCAUAGGUUUCGAUCUUCUUCUCUCAUUUGCCAUUUCAGCUCCAAUAUUACCAUUUUUUCCAUGACCCAUCACUCGAAGAGCUUAUUUUGGACAUAAUCUUGGGGUUAUCUCAAAGUUUCUUUUUUAUUCAACAAGUUUAUUCAUGAGUCAACCAAAUAUUGGACUCAGGUAUUAGUUCGGUACUGGUCAUGGCCGAGGCGGAUAUGACUUGGCCGAGUCAUACUGGUCUCAAUCGAGAUUUUAAACCCUAUUUGAACUCUCUAUUUCUUUUUCACAGUACCCAUUUGUUAGAAAUUUGAGGCUAAUCCAACCUAUGGUAAUCACCCUAGAGGGGGGGUGAAUGGGGUGAUGGUCUCUUUUCUAACAAUUUAAACAAGUGAAUGCAAGAGACAAUUAUAUGCAAGUAUAUAAUAAUCAAUAUAGAGACAAUUGCAUAUAAAUUAAAGAGUAGGGAAAAGAGAAUGCAAACACAAGAUUUUAUAGUGGUUCGACGCAACCCGGCCUAUAUCCACUCUCCUCUAGCUUCAAUCCUGAGCUUGAGGUUUCACUAAUCCAAGGCUUCCAAACCAAGCCUUCAAGCAAUACAAUUGGAUUAUGGUUCCAAUUCACCCUCUUGGACUUUUGGCUCCAAGCACCCUUUACACUUCUCAAGAGAUAUCCCACUCUUGAACAACCCCUCAAGUGAUACUUCACACUUGAGAAACUUCCUAUCAAAGAUUUACAAAUGAAUGAUCUCUCAAUCUAGCACAAAAACUUUAAGCUCAAAUGAUACAAGAAAAACUAGGAUUGAAUGGUGCACUAAAGAUAUGCAAGUUUUGAAAUAAUGGUGCACUCAAAUAUACUCUUCCAAGGCUCAAAUAUAAUCAAGAAAUAUUUGGGAAGGUUAAUCUCUUGAAACAAUGAAGAUCGAAGCCUUUUUAUAGAAGAAAAAAGCCAAACUAGCCAUUGGGGGUUCGACCGGUCGACCAGUUGACUAGCCAUUAGCAUUUAAUGCAUGGCAAGUGACCGUUGGGCCUUAACCGGACCUCAACUAGUUGAGGUUCAACCUUGACCGUGAAGAGAAGGUCACUGGGAGAAAAAGAAACCUUUUGGCCUCCCUCAACCGGUCGACCGGUUGAGCCAUUUUUUUGGCUCAACACCGAACCAUUUUCAACUUAAAACCUUUUAACACAAGUUUGAAAAUCAUUUAAUACAAGGUUUUAGUUGAAAACAUGAAAUCAUCCAAUUCUUAAGAUAUUUAAAACAAUAUUACUCUUGGAUGAUUUUGGUGCAUAAAUAAAGAAUGAAAUGCAUGAAAGUCCUAGUGCACCAACAACCUUACAAAGAGAUCCUAUGAAGCUUUGGUCUUGAAAAACUCUUCUCUUUGAGGUGGUCUUCUUCUUCAUGAUUUCUUCUUGGUUUGAUUUGUCUUUGUGAUUGCCACUUUGGAAAUCGUCUUGCCUAAUCACACUUGAAAUAUGAUCAUUAGUUCUAAACCUUGUUUUGUUAUCAUAAAAAUCAAGAUUAACCAAACCUUGGUUUCACACCAUUUUUUAAGGCUAACAAAUUAGCCCUACGAAGAUAUAAGAGGAUUAAGAUGCAAAUAAAGGAAUGAAGAUGCAAAGGGUUUGAAGACUCUAAACUCUUCAUACUUUUUCACUUUCAUGGGUUUCAAUCUUCUUAUCUCAUCCACCAUUUUCGCUCCAAUAUUACAAUUUUUUUCCAUCACCCAUCACCCAAAAAGCUUAGUUUGAACAUAAUCUUGGAGUUAUCUCAAAGUUUCUUUUUUAUUCAACAAGUUUAUUCAUGAGUCAACCAAAUAUUGGGCUCAAGUAUCAAUUCAAUAUCGAUCAUGGUUGAGGCGGAUAUGACUCGAUCAAGUUGUACUCGUCUCAACCGAGAUUAUGAAACCUAUUUGAGCUCUCUAUAUAUCUACACAAUACCCAUUUUUGAAGGCUUACAAAAUAGUCCUACGAAGAUACAAAAGGAUGGAGAUGCAAAUACAAGGAUGAAAAUCCAAAGAGUUUGAAGACUCUGAACUCUCCAUAUUUUUUCACUUUCAUGAGUUUUUAUUUUCUUCUCUUAUUUGCCAUUUCCGCUCCAAUAUUACCAUUUUUUUUCCAUUACCCAUCACUCGAAGAGCUUAGUUUGAACAUAAUAUUAAGGUUAUCUCAAAUUUUCUUCGUGAUUCAACAAGUUUAUUCAUAAGUCAACCAAAUAUUGGACUUGGAUAUCUAUUCGAUACUAGUCAUGGUAGAGGCGGAUAUGACUCGACCAAGUCAUACCAGUCUCAACUGAGGUUUUGAACCCUAUUUGAGCUCUCUAUUUCUCUAUACAAUACCCAUUUUGAAGGCUCACAAAAUAGCCCUACCAAGAUACAAGAUAAUGGAGAUGCAAAUAUUACUCGUUGAAUUUCUAGCAAUAAUUGGUUUAUUUUUUAAAUUUUGAACUAUUUUUUAAAAUUAAAUAUCUAUUAAUGAAACAAAAAUACUAACUCUUUCUUGAUUUUCUUCUCUCAUCCACCAUAUCCGCUCCAAUAUUGCCAUUUUUUCCAUCACCCAUCACUCGAAGAGCUUAGUUUGGAUAUAAUCUUAAGGUUAUGUUUCUUUUUUAUUCAACAAGUUUAUUCAUGAGUUAACCAAAUAUUGCAAUGUUUUCAGAACCGGACCGGUGAUCGAACCGGAAAAGUUACCGGUUCACGGUUCACUGGUCGGACCGGCGGUCGAACCGCUAUUGAACCGGUGACAUCAUAAAUAUAUAAUUUAUAUAUUAUUAAAAUUAAAAAUAAUUAUAAAAAUUUUAAAAUAUAUAUGAAUAAAUUAAAAAUCAAUAAUAUUAUCAAAUUAAAUCAUAUUAAUAUUUUUAAUUUUGUUAAAUGAAAUAUGUAAAAUAUUUAAAUAUGAAUAUAUUAAAAAUGAAAAUUUAAACUAAUUUUAUCAUUUUUAAAAAUAUUAUAUUAUUUUUAUUUAACAUUACAAAAUUAAUUUAAAAUCUAAUAUAUAUUAUUUUGUUUAGCAUAUUAACUAACAUAAGCUGUGUAGCCGAGUGGUGCCUUGCAUGCCUUCCAAAUCUGGGGUCCAAGGUUCAAUUCCUCCUGGCUGUGGGGGACUUCUUGUUAUUUUUUUCAUUCAUUUGGUUGGUUAGGAAUCCCACAUCGGAAACAAAGAGAAAUGAGGAAGCCAAGGGUGCCUAUAAAUUCUAUCCACAUUGAAAGCCAACGCAUUCCCUCAUUGGGUGGGCUCAAGACUAAGCCCACAAUAUGGUUGAGUGGGGUUUGGGCUUUGUCAUGAUGAGACAAGCCCAGAAUGGGCAUUUUGCCCAAGACCUUUUUAUGCAAGGGAGCCUUUAAAAUGGAGGUUCAAAUUGAACCGUUCGGUUCGAUUAGAACCGUCCGGUUCGACCGAGUCACCGGUCCGACCGUCGGUUUUGGCGGUUCGUGGCCGGUUUAAAUCUUAAACGGUUCAAUAAGUAGAUCGGACCGGAAUUGUGACCGGUCGACGGUUGAACCGGUUGGACCGGCCGGUCCGGUCCGGUUUUUAAAACAUUGAAAUAUUGGACUCGGGUAUCAGUUAGGUACCGGUCAUGGCCAAGGCAAAUAUGACUUGGUCAAGUCAUACCAGUCUUAACUGAGAUUUUGAACCUUGUUUGAACUCUUUAUUUCUUUGCACAAUACCCAUUUUUUAAGGCUAACAAAAUACCCCAACGAAGAUACAAGAGGAUUGAGAUGCAAAUAUAGGAAUGAAGAUGAAAAGGGUUUGAAGAGUCUAAACUCUUCAUACUUUUCCAUUUUCAUGGGUUUCAAUCUUCUUCUUUCAUCCACCAUUUUCGCUCUGGUAUUACCAUUUUUUUCCAUCACCCAUCAUCCAAAAAGCUUAGUUUGGACAUAAUCUUGGAGUUAUCUCAAAGUUUCUUUUUUAUUCAACAAGUUUAUUCAUGAGUCAACCAAAUAUUGGACUAGGGUAUCGAUUGAUACUAAUCAUGGCUGAAGCGGAUAUGACACGAUCAAGUCAUAUGUGUCUCAACCGAGAUUAUGAACCUUGUUUGAGCUUUCCAUUUCUAUACACAAUACCCAUUUUUGAAGGCUCAAAAAAUAAUCCUACGAAGAUACAAGAUGAUGAAGAUGCAAACACAUGGAUGAAAAUCCAAAGGGUUUGAAGGCUCUGAACUCUCCAUAUUUCUUCACUUUCAUGGGUUUCGAUCUUUUUCUCUCAUCCACCAUUUCCGCUCCAAUAUUACCAUUUUUUUUCCAAUUUUUAUAGUGCAAUGGUUGGCUGUUCACGGACUAGCUGUACCUACCAUUUCUUUUUUGGGGUCAAUAUCAGCAAUGCAGUUCAUCCAACGAUAAACCUAAUCCGAAUUAUAGAGCUACGACACAAUCAAACCCGAAGGAAAGGAUUUGUAUGAUAUCUGAUCUAGGGAAAUAUAUAUAUUAUACUGUGUCAUCCAGAAAAUCGAGUGAUUCCUUAUUACCCAUCACUCGAAGAGCUUAGUUUGGACAUAAUAUUAUGGUUAUCUCAAAUUUUCUUUAUGAUCCAACAAAUUUAUUCACAAGUCAACCAAAUAUUGGACUUAGGUAUCAGUCCGAUACUAGUCAUGGCGGAGGCGGAUAUAACUCGAUUGAGUCGUACCAGUCUCGACUAAGAUUUUGAUCCCUGUUUAAGCUCUUUAUUUCUCUGUACAAUACCCAUUUUGAAGGCUUCCAAAAUAGCCCUACCAAGAUACAAGAUAAUGGGGAUGCAAAUAUUACUCCUUGAAUUACUGGCAAUAAUUGGUUUAUUUUUUUAAUUUUGAACUAUUUUUUAAAAUUAAAUAUUUGUUAAUGAAACAAAAGCACUAACUCCUUCUUGAUUUGGAGUUUAUUUGUUGAAUGAAAUUUUUUGGAUAAUUUUGGUUUUGCGCAUAAGAGAAAUAAUGAACCAAUUGUUGUUCAUAAAUUCAUAAAAUUGGAUUAGCAUUUGAGUUUCAAAUUAUUUUUAAAAGUGCUUACAUUCAUUAAUGAAUCUAAUACACUAAGUUCCUCUUUGGGAUGAAUUUUGAACGAGGCUAAAAGCGUUUCCUAACACUAGAAAGCAAUCUUAAAAAAAUGGUUGAAAAUCACUUUUAAAAAUCUAAAUGAUGACAUGAUUCUUCAAACUAUCACAUUUUUGUUAUAUUAUACAUUACCAAAACAUUCUCUGAACAUAUUUUUUUUUAAAUUUAUAAUAUGCAUUUCCUACAAAACAAUCUUAAAAAAAUAUGUAUAUCAUCGAUAAUUAAAUUACGGUUUGACAGUGAUUUUAGCAAUUGUUUUUAGUUUUUUUAAUACUUUAAAAAUAACAGCAGUGAAUUUAGGAAACGUUUCUAGCUUUUUUAACACUUGAAUGAUAUAAAUUUUCAAGUAUUAGAAAAGUUAAAAAUGUUUCCUAAAAUCACUACUAAACAGGCUUUAAUCAGUAGUAGUAAUUAAUUGGUAUUGAAUAACUGUAAUGCAGUUUCCUAAAUGUAGUAUUGAGACAGAAACAGAGAGGAAGAGAGAGAUGCUUAACAAACAAAUUGCUUUAUUGUAGUAAUAUGCCCAAAGUCCACACCAGAAGAGUUACAACUAGACCCUCUUAUCAUACUAGGAUUGUUAUAACGAGGGAAUUGAACAUCAUAAAUAGUCAUUCAAGCAAGGAAAUGAAAGGUUGAUAGCUUCUUCUUUUUCUAUAUUCCCCCACUAGAAUCGUGCUUGAAGGUAUUCAACCACCUUCUUGUCCAACUAGAAGGCCCUUGCCAGGAAAUCAGGAUUGAUGGGUGGAUUUGAUCCAAACACUGCAUUGGCUAUGGUGAUUACACCUGGAUUUUGGCUGUUCAGACCAGCAAUGGCUACUGCAUUAGUGUGCCCAAUGUUGAAUUGGAAGUGAAUGAGACCGAUAGGGAACACAAAAACAUCCCCUUUGUUGAGGACUUUGCUAAUGAAGCGGUUUUGAGGGUUGGAUGUGACAAAGCCAACUAAGAGUGUUCCCUCCAAAACAGUGAGGAUCUCACUGGCACGGGGGUGAAUGUGAGAAGGGUUUUGACCAUAGGGUGCAUAAUCGAUACGAACCAGUGAUAUCCCAAGAGUGUUUUGUCCCGGUAGUACAUCAACAUUUAUAAUAGUGACAUUUGAGCCCACUAGAUUUGUUGUGUUUCCUGGAAUAUUCAGCCCUUGAUACAAGAAAUCGUCGGCCACGGUCAGGUUUGGGUUCUUGCAGAACUUUCCAUUUACAAAUACUGCAUUUAAAAAAACAAAAGGAAAAUAAAAGAUAGGUCAUUAGUAUCAAACCACCAUCAAUGGAAAGAUUAGUGAAAAUAGUGACAAGAUCAUUGGUUACUAAAGAAAUACCAGCAUUCUCGGGUUCAUCAAUGGCAACACAAGUGUCUUGCAGUGGCCUUGGAUCAAAGGCAGAGGCAAGAGAGGAAGCCAAUGCCAUGAGGGCAACAGUUACCAGGGAACUAACACCUUUCUUCAUUGUUAGAGAACUAUCUCCAACAAUCACAAUCUUUAUCUUUAGGUGGGGGUGAGAAAUUUUGCAUGGGAAAGAUGUUAAUUUAUAGACCAGUCAAUGAGUUAAGUCUUUGCAUAAACUCAUAAAGUCUUCAAUGGUGUUGAGGCCUAGCGUCCCAACGAUCCACGCAGUUGCCAAGUGGACGCACGCUUUCAACCAAGAUUAAGUUCUGGUUCAGUUGUCCUUGCAAAAGAUGUCCGGACAGGGUGUCCGGACACACCCUCCGAUGGUUUUGUCAGCCAUGACCCGAGAGAUUAAGCAGUUGGCCUUUUUCUAGGUAUAGCAAGCUUACCUUCCUCCUUGUGUGAAGGUCCUUAUAUAUAGUGUCAGAGGCUCUGCCUCCCUCUUUAAUGAUGGGAAGAUUUUUUGGCUCGUCAUGAGGCCUCUAGGUGGUGGCAGGGUCAUCAUCAUCCUACGAGCGGCUGUUAGAGAUCGUGGGAGGUGACUUGCCAUCAUUCCUAUCCUUUCGCUCUGCAGGCGGCGGAACGUGGACUGUGGCAGGCUAUCGGAAUGACGUAGCAAGGCAUGCUCACUUUAAUCAAUGAUCCGGACAACAUAUCCGGAUAGGAUAUGCUGUCGUCCGGAUGUGAUGUUCGCGAGUGCCGUGUGCCUUUCCCUGAGGGAGUCCGGAUAGGGGAGCGCGCCACGUGUCCUCUUGGGGGGAAUCUGGAUGGAGUUGCUUCAGAUAGAGAUAUGUGCCACGUGUCAUCAGGGGGAGGGGUCCCUACAAUGGGUAGUUUUUUCUUUUCUUUUCUUUUUUUCACUUUCAACUUCAAGUGGUUACACCAAUACAUGUUGAUUUAUGUAGGAUUAGUUAGUUACUAUACUGAUCUUAACUAGAAAAUUCUCCAUGCGUGUGGAAAGUGAAGUUCAAUUAUUGGUGGAGGCAGGUCCAAUUUCAUAUCAAUCUGCAUGAUCCAUACAUUUACAUAAAUAGUAGAUUGAAUAUUACUACUAUUCAAACACUGAAAAAUAUGUAUAGAGUAUUGACAAGAAAAUAGAAGAUUACAGAGUCGGUGCAGGCUUGGACUAGACAAUAACCCACCCAUUCCAAACAUGGUUACUCUAUGAGGCUUGUGUAGGUUCAGUUUAAUGAGUAUCUAUAUAGCUUAAUUAACCAGUCAAAGUUUUCAGAGAUUGGCUGAUGAGAUUGAAUAUGUAGCCAAGUUCUGAGUUUCUAGCUCAUGUGCCUUCCACUGAGUGAAAAUCCUUGGAUAAUCUCUGGGGUUGCUAAAGUUUAAUGAAAAAUAGGGAUAAAUUCAAAGAUUUUCUGCUAUGCUCAUUAGGCUUUCCUCGGUUACAAAAGCUUUGACCAUGAUUUUUAUGCUUGCAGCCUUCCCUGUUGGCUCAAAAGUUAUUAUUAUUAUUAUUAUUAUGGUUUGAGAGAGAAAGAGAUCUUAUAAACACCUUUAAACUAAGACUUUUUAAUUAGUUGUUUAUAAGUUGUCUUUAACAAUUACGUCGGUGUUUCCUGGUGAGAAGCAAGAAAACUUGCAUUUGAAAAAUACCAACCUUUUCAAAUUUAAAGGUUGAACCAUUCUUCGAUUACACUUCUUUCUCAUCCUUUUCUCCUCAACUUAUGCUCUAGACUCUAGAAUGGAUUCUACAUAAUCUUCGGGUUUUAGGCCUUAUUCCAGUGUAAAGCUAAGAAGUAAACCAGUGGGCAGGCCAUCUCUAAUCAGUUUGUGAUUAGUGUCAUGACCUAGAUCUUUAUAAGAAGUUGGGGUCAGAGGUUUGUUUACAGUGGAUGUCAUAAGAUUUAUGGGCUUUCAUUUCUAUUCUUUCCUCACUAUUUCAUAACACUUAUGCUUCUCUCACCAUUCAUAUGGUUUUACUUGGACAUCUUAAUGAGUUUUUUCGAUCUCAGUUGAUGGGAGUUAUAAUGGGAUAAUUUAGAGAAGCAAAUUAAUGGCAUCUUUCCAUUUCUGAAUUGUAUGGGGUUGUUGCCUCAAUGUUCAUGUCUUCAUCACCAAUUCUGUCAGCAGUAUGCGAGAAGUAACAGUAGUUCUGUUUUAUGCAUAUCCUGUAUUUAAUCAAUCAAUCAACUGAGAUUUGUUAUUCAGUUGCUUCUUUUACAAGUGAAAUCUCAAAGAUUUAUUUAAGAUUUUUUAAUGAAAACAUAGGGUAAUCCUGGAUAUGGUAUUGGAUAGUGAGAGAAGAAGAUGGCUAAUACACAAACUGCUUUAUUUUAAUAUUAGGACCAAAGUCCACAUCAAACAAGCUACAACAUAAAGUAAUAAACCCUCUUAUUCUAGGAUGACCGUAAUGAGGUAAUUGAACAUCACAAAUAGUCAUUGAAGCAAGGAAAUCAAAGGCUGGUAGCUUCUUAAUUUUCUAUAUUUUCCAACUAGAAUCGUGCUUGAAGGUAUUCAACCACUUUCUUGUCCAACUGGAAGGCCCUGGCAAGGAAAUCAGGAUUGAUGGGUGGAUUUGAUCCAAACACUGCAUCGGCUAUGGUGAUUACACCUGGAUUUUGGCUGUUCAGACCAGCAAUGGCUACUGCAUUAGUGUGCCCAAUGUUGAAUUGGAAGUGAAUGAGACCUAUAGGGAACACAAAAACAUCCCCCUUGUUGAGGACUUUGCUAAAGAGGCGGUUUUGAGGGUUGGAUGUGACAAAGCCAACUAAGAGUGUUCCCUCCAAGACAGUGAGGAUCUCAGUGGCACGAGGGUGAGUGUGAGGAGGGUUUUGACCAUAGGGUGCAUAAUCGAUACGAACCAGUGAUAUCCCAAGAGUGUUAAGUCCUGGUAUUGCAUCAACAUUUACUGUAGUGACAUUUGAGCCCACUCGAUUUGCUGUGUUUCCUGGAAUAUUCAGCCCUUGAAAGAAGAAAUCCUCGGCCACAGUCAGGUUUGGGUUCUUGCAGAACUUUCCAUUUACAAAUACUGCAUUUAAAAAGAAGGGGAAAAGAAAAGAUAGGUCAUUAGUAUCAAACCAUUAUCAAUGGAAAGAGUAGUGAAAAUGGCAAUAAGAUCAUUGGUCACUAUAUAUAUAGAAAUACCAGCAUUCUCGGGUUCAGGAAUGGCAACACAAGUGUCCUGAAGUGGGCUAGGAUCAAAGGCAGCGGCAAGAGAGGAAGCCAAUGCCAUGAGGGCAACAGCAACCAGGAAACUGACACCUUUCUUCAUUGUCAGAGUACUGUCUCCAACAAUCACAGCCUUUAUCUUUUGGUGGGGGUGAUAAAUUUUGCAUGGGAAAGAUGUUAAUUUAUAGACCAGAAUCGGUGAGUUAGUCUUUGCAUAAACUCACAAAGUCUUUAAUGGGUAGUUUUUUUUUUCAUUUUCAAGGACAAUUAGUUACACCAAUACAUUUUAAUUUAUGUAGGAUUAGUUAGUAUACUGAUCUUAACUAGAAUAUUCUCCAUGAGUGUGUGGAUAGUGGAGUUCAAUUAUAGGUGGAGGCAGGUCAAAUUUCAUAUCAAUCUACAUGAUCCAUGCAAUAACAUAAAUAGUAGAGCUUUCUGCUCUUUUAGUUUUAGUACCCAAACACUGAAAAAUCUCUAAAGUAGUGUAUAGACAAGCAAAUAGAAGAUUACAGAGUAGGCCAUCGGACUAGACAAUAAUCCACCCAUUUCAAACAUGGUUACUCCAUGAGGCUUGUGUAGGUUCAGUUUAAUGAGUAUCUAUAUAGCUUAAUUCACCAUUGAAAGUGUCCAGAGAUUGGCUGAUGAGAUUGAAUAUGUAGCCAAGUUCUGAGUUUCUAGCUCAUGUGCCUUCCACUGAGUGAAAAAUCCUUGGAUAAGCUCUGGGGUUGCUUCUGUUUAAUGAAAUAUUGGGAUAAAUUCAAAGAUUUUCUGCUAUGCUCGUUGGGCUUUCCUCAGUUAAAAAAGCUUUGACUACUUGCAGCCUGCCCUAUCUGAGCAAUUGGCUCAAAAGUUAUUAAUAUUAUUAUCAUGUUUUUUGAUAGUGACUUUAUUUAUGUAUUAUGAGAGGGAAAGAGAUGCUUAACAAACACCUUUGAACUAAGACUUUCUAAAUUAUUUGUUUACAAGUUUUCUUUAACAAUCAAAUCUGUGUUUUUUGGUAAGAAGCAAGAAACCUUGCAUUGGAAAAAUACCAAUUAUUUAGAUAAAGUUCUCAGAUUAGUCUAUGUUUUAUACAUAAGGUAAGCAGAUACACUUUCCAAGCUUUCCAAGUCUUCAAUGGAUGGCCUUUUUUAAAUUUAAAGGUCAAACCCUUGUUCAACAACUACACCCCUUUCCCAUCCUUUUUUCCUCAACUCAAAGUGGACUCUGCAUAAUCUUUGGGUUUUAGGACUUAUUCGAGGGUAAAUCUAAAGGAGUAACCCUGUGGACAGACCAUCUAUGAUCAGUUUGUGAUUAGUGUCAUCAGUCAUGACCCAUUAGAUCUUUAUAAGUUGAGGUGAGAAGUUUGCUGCAUGAAUUCGAAUCUACUUUCUUUCCACUUCUUAUCAGCAUGGAGUGCAUGACGAAAACUUCAGAUAAAAAUGAAAACUCAAAUUAAACUGUUUUCUUUUCCAUUCUUUCUUCACUAUGUUCAUGACACUUGUGCUUCUCCUACCAUUCAAAUGGUUUAUCUGGACAUCUUAAUUAGUUUCUUCGAUCUUAGUUGAUGGGUUAUAGUGGGAUAAUUUAGAGAAGCAAAAUGGCACCUUUCCAUUUCUGAAUUGUAUGCAGUUGUUGCCUCAAUGUUCAUUUCUUCAUCACCAAUUCUGCCGGCAGUAUUGUAAAGUGUGAUUAAAGGGUCAAAGCUUGACCCUAAUUGAUAUUCAUCCACGUAAAUAUAUAGUACAUCAAGCAAACCUAAUUAAGGGAAAACCGUGAGUUUAGGAAACAAUCCUAAACAAUAGCAACUACUUUCCUAGAAUACUUUCCUAGAAUAUAUCAUAAUAUCUCAAUCGUGAGUUUAGGAAACAAUCCUAAACAAUAGCAACUACUUUCCUAAUAUACUUUCCUAGAAUAUAUCAUAAUAUCUCAACACCCUCCCUCAAGUUGGAGCAUGAGGUUCAAAAAUGCCCAACUUGGCAAGAAGAUAAUCAAAUUGUUUCUUUCCAAGAGCCUUUGUAAAAAUAUCUGCCAAUUGUGUAACAGUAGGAACAUAUGAUGGAGCAAUCAAACCAUCUGUUAUCGCAUCCCGGACAAAGUGACAAUCAACCUCAAUGUGUUUGGUGCGUUCAUGAAAUACUGGAUUUUUGGCCAUAUGAAGGGCUGACUGACUAUCACAAAAGAGCUUGAUUGCCUUUGGGUGGUGCACACCCAGGCUCAGAAGCAACCCCUUCAACCAUUUGAGCUCACAAGUAACUGCUGCCAUAGCUCGGUAUUCCGCUUCUGCAGACGAGCGGGAAACUGUGUGUUGCUUCUUUGUCUUCCAAGAAAUAGGAGAUUGCCCAAGAAACACAAGCCAUCCGGACAAAGAGCGUCUAGUGACUGGACAUGCUGCCCAAUCAGAAUCACACCAACCCUGUAGGGACAGAUCACUAUCUGCACGUAACAAGAUACCCUGACCCGGAGUACCUUUCAAAUAACGAACGACUCUCAAAGCUGCCUCCCAAUGCUCAAUUCUAGGCUCAUGCAUAAAUUGAGAUAAUAUAUGAACCGAGUAGGCCAAAUCUGGACGGGUCACUGCCAGAUAAAUGAGUCGACCUACUAAUCUGCGAUAGGACUCAGGGUUCGACAAGAGCUCCCCAUUUGCGAGUCCUAAUCUGUGAUUUUGCUCGAUCGGGAAGCCACACGGCUUGGCUCCCAGUAAUCCGGCCUCCGAUACAAUGUCAAGUGUGUACUUACGUUGACACAAGAACAAACCAGCCGAACUCCUGGCCACCUCGAUUCCGAGGAAAUACUUCAAAACACCAAGAUCUUUCAUCUUAAAACAAUCACUGAGAUAGGCUUUAAAGGUCUUAAGAGCAGCGGAAUCAUUCCCAGAGAUAAUAAGAUCGUCGACAUACACUAGCACAUUUAUUUGAACAUUGCCCGUAGUGUAAGUAAAAAGAGAAUAAUCAGAGUAGGAUUGUAAGAAACCAUAUCCUUUAAGAGCCGUGACCAACUUGGAAAACCAACAUCUCGGAGCCUGUUUCAACCCAUAAAGUGAUUUCCGUAACCUGCAAACCAAGUUCGGAUCGGAACGCUCAAAUCCUGGGGGUAGCUUCAUAUACACUUCCUCCUCAAGAUCUCCAUGUAAAAAGGCAUUGUGAACAUCCAUCUGAUGAAGUUCCCAAUUUUUCGAAGCCGCAAUAGCCAAGAAAGCACGCACCGUAGUCAUUUUGGCAACUGGAGAAAAUGUCUCAUGAUAAUCAAUACCAGCUUCUUGAUGAUUCCCCAAAACUACUAAUCUGGAUUUGAGCCUUUCAAUAUCACCGUUUGAGAAGUACUUGGUUCUGUAAACCCACUGACUUCCCAAAGCACGCUUACCCUUUGGAAGAGGUUCAAGACUCCACGUACCAUUUUCCUCCAAAGCCCGAAUCUCCUCAUGCAUUGACUUUUGCCAACCGACAUCUUUCAUAGCCUCUUUAAAUGACUUAGGAUCAUUGCUCGAAAUAAUAGUUGCAAGAAACUUUCGAUAAUGUACAGAAAAAUUGUCACAAUUUAUAUAAUGUGCUAUGGGAUAAGGAGUACCUGAGGGAUGCUGUGGAGACGGAGUGGCGGGAGAUGGACUUUCAGCAACCACCGUAUGAGUAACAAAAUCUCGUAAUAGAACCGAAGGAAAUUUAUCCCUCAUUCCCUUUCCCAUAGGAGCAGACUGCCCAUUGCUUGAAUUGUCAAGUCCAAGUGAAUCAAGCCCAACAGUAGGAACAACUUCCGGCCCAGGUGAAAGAGGCGCUGAAGAAGCCUCGGGAUUUUGUGUUUGGGCUUGUGGGUUAGGCAAAUCAGCAUCAUCAUCGACAAAAUCAGCAAAAUCACUAUCAAUUUCAACAUUUACCGUAGGCACAAUGUUUUCCGGAAUAAUAUUCACAGCACCCGGGUUACCAAACGGAAAAACAUCCUCAAAAAACUUGACAUCACGAGAAACAAAUAAUUCCUUGGUGUCCAAAUCAAACAACUUCCACCCCUUCUUUCCAAACGGGUAACCCAAAAACACACAUUUUCUACUUCUACUUGCAAAUUUGUCACCUUUGGAUUUUUGAUCAUGAGCAAAACUAAGACAACCAAAGGUGUGAAUUGCCGCAUAUGAAGGAGGGGUGCCAAAUAGGAUUUCAAAUGGUGUUUUAUUGUGUAACAAAGGAGAGGGAGUGCGGUUUAUUAAGUGAGCAGCGGCAAGAACACUUUCGCCCCAAAAAUAAAUAGGCAAAUUUGCUUGAAAGCGUAAUGCCCUCCCCACAUUUAAAAUAUGCUUGUGUUUUCUCUCAACCCUCCCAUUUUGUUGCGGAGUUCCCACACAAGAAGUUUGGAAUAAAAUACCAGUUGCAGAAAAAUAGUCAAGUAGGCAUUUAAAUUCCGUACCAUUAUCACUUUGAACAACUUUCACUGUUUGAGAAAAUUGUCGAUCUACCAUUGCAAUAAAAGACAUAAACAUCCGAAAAACUUCUGUUUUGUCGACCAACAAAUAAAUCCACACAGCUCUUGAGAAAUCAUCAACAAUAGUUAAAAAAUAACGAGCUCCACAAGAAGAGACAUGUUUAUAAGAGCCCCACAAAUCACAAUGUAUUUUCUCAAAAAUUCUAGUUGCCUUAUUGUCACUUAAAGGAAAUUUGUCUCUAGGAUGCUUAGCACGAAAACAUAUUUCACAAGCUUUGUUUAAACUACCCUUAAGAUUGCUAACUGGAGGAAGUAACUUCACUACUUUCUCUGAAGGAUGUCCCAUCCUUUUGUGCCACAACUCCAAAGUGGAUGCUGCGUUGUGGACAGAAACAUGUUGUACCGAAUCACCUUCAGCUCCACCGAAGUAGUAAAGUCCAUCUCGCCUAACUCCCGUUCCAAUCAGCUCCCUGGUGUGGUCCUGUAUAGCACACAUAUAAGAGUUAAAUUGGACAAUACAAUGUAAGUCAUCAGUCAAUUGUGAAACCGAAAGUAAAUUGCAAUUGAGUUUCGGCACAUAAAGAACGUUUUGAAGAGUGAUGUUAUUCGACAAACGAACGGAACCAGAUUGGGUCGCAACAACAGAUUCACCAUUAGGAAGGCCAACCGGACACUCAAACAACGCUAUAGUAUCAAAUAACCAAGAUAAAUCACCGGUCACGUGAUGAGUUGCCCCGGUGUCAAUGAUCCAUGACUUCGUGUCAAACUUACCAUUCAACCUGUCAUCCAGAACUUGAGCAUUACCAAUUAAGCCCGCAAGAGCUUUCCAUUGUUUGGGCAAAAAAGGUGAAUUCAUCUCCCUUUUAGGUGGCGACAAUGGUGGUUGUUCAUCGUCGCCGGCCAUUGUUUUAUUGUGUGUGCAUGUCAGCGCUCUGAUACCAUGUAAAGUGUGAUUAAAGGGUCAAAGCUUGACCCUAAUUGAUAUUCAUCCACGUAAAUAUAUAGUACAUCAAGCAAACCUAAUUAAGGGAAAACCGUGAGUUUAGGAAACAAUCCUAAACAAUAGCAACUACUUUCCUAGAAUACUUUCCUAGAAUAUAUCAUAAUAUCUCAAUCGUGAGUUUAGGAAACAAUCCUAAACAAUAGCAACUACUUUCCUAAUAUACUUUCCUAGAAUAUAUCAUAAUAUCUCAACAAGUAUGCUGGAAGUAACAGUAGAACUAUUUUACAACCAGUCAAGUAUUGCUUCUUCAUCAAAAUUCUGCAUAUCCUGUAUAUAAUCAAUCAAGCAACUGAGAUUUGUGAUCCAGUUGUUUUUCCACAAGUGAAACAUCAAAGAUUUGGAUAAGAUUUUUUAAGACAAAUAUUGAGAUGGAGACAGGAGUAGAAGAUGCCUAACAGACAAACUGCCUUAUUUUAAUAUUAGGACCAGAGUCCACACCAAAAGAGCUACAAAAGAAAGUAAUAAACCCUCUUAUUCUAGGAUGAUUGUAAUGAGGUAAUUAAACAUCACAAAUAGUCAUUCAAGCUUGCAAAUCAAAGGUUCCUAGCUUCUUCAUUUUCUCUAUUUCCCCACUAGAAUCGUGCUUGAAGGUAUUUGACCACCUUCUUGUCCAACUGGAAGGCCCUUGCCAGGAAAUCAGGAUUGAUGGGUGGAUUUGAUCCAAAUACUGCAUUGGCUAUGGUGAUUACACCUGGAUUUUGGCUGUUCAGACCAGCAAUGGCUACUGCAUUAAUGUGCCCAAUGUUGAAUUGGAAGUGAAUGAGACCAAUAGGGAACACAAAAACAUCCCCCUUGUUUAGAACUUUGCUAAUGAGGCGGUUUUGAGGGUUGGAUGUGACAAAGCCAACUAAGAGUGUUCCCUCCAAGACGGUGAGGAUCUCAGUGGCACGAGGGUGAGUGUGAGGAGGGUUUUGACCAUAGGGUGCAUAAUCUAUACGAACCAGUGAUAUCCCAAGAGUGUUAAGCCCUGGUAUUGCAUCAACAUUUACUGUAUUGACAUUUGAGCCCACUAGAUUUGCUGUGUUUCCUGGAAUAUUCAGCCCUUGAAAGAAGAAAUCCUCGGCCACAGUCAGGUUUGGGUUCUUGCAGAACUUUCCAUUUACAAAUACUGCAUUUAAAAAGAAGGGGAAAAGAAAAGAUAGGUCAUUAGUAUCAAACCAUUAUCAAUGGAAAGAGUAGUGAAAAUGGCAAUAAGAUCAUUGGUCACUAUAUAUAUAGAAAUACCAGCAUUCUUGGGUUCAGGAAUGGCAACACAAGUGUCCUGCAGUGGGCUUGGAUCAAAGGCAGCGGCAAGAGAGGAAGCCAAUGCCAUGAGGGCAACAGCAACCAGGAAACUGACACCUUUCUUCAUUGUCAGAGUGCUGUCUCCAACAAUCAGAGUCUUUAUCUUUAGGUGGGGGUGAGAAAUUUUGCAUGGGAAAGAUGUUAAUUUAUAGACCAGAGUCAGUGAGUUAAUCUUUGCAUAAACUCACCAAGUCUUCAAUGGGUAGUUUUUUUUUUUUUUUUCUUCUUUUUCACUUUCAAGGACAAGUGGUUACACCAAUACAUUUAAAUUUAUGUAGGAUUAGUUAGUUAGUAUACUGAUCUUAAUUAGAAUAUAAAGUGAAGUUCAAUUAUUGGAGGCAGGUCCAAUUUCAUAUCAAUCUGCAUGAUCCAUGCAUUUACAUAUAUAGUACAGCUUUCUGCUCUUUUAGUAUUACUACCGAAAGACUGAAAAAUCUGUAGUGUAUAGACAAGCAAAUCGAAGAUUACAGAGUAGGUGAAGGCUCAGACUAGACAAUAAUCCACCAAUUUCAAACAUGGUUACUCCAUGAGGCUUGUGUAGGUUCGGUUUAAUAAGUAUCUAUAUAGCUUAAUUCACCAUUGAAAGUGUCCAGAGAUUGGCUGAUGAGAUUGAAUAUGUGGCCAAGUUCUGAGUUUCUAGCUCAUCUGCCUUCCACUGAGUGAAAAAUCCUUGGAUAAACUCUGGGGUUGCCUCAGUUUAAUGAAAGAUUGGGAUAAAUUCCAAGAUUUUCUGCUAUGCUCAUUGGGCUUUCCUCAGUUAAAAAAGCUUUGACCUCUUGCUGCCUGCCCUAUCUGAGCAAUUGGCUCAAAAGUUAUUAUUAUUAUUAUUAUUAUUAUGUUUUUUGAUAGGGACUUUAUUUAUGUAUUAUGAGAGAGAAAGAGAUGCUUAACAAACACCUUUAAACUAAGACUCUCUAAAUUAGUUGUUUACAAGUUGUCUUUAACAAUCAAAUCUGUGUUUUUUGGUAAGAAGCAAGAAACCUUGCAUUGGAAAAAUACCAAUUAUUUAGAUAAAGUUCUCAGAUUAGUCUAUGUUCUAUGCAUAAGGUAAGAAGAUACACCUUCCAAGUCUUCAAUGGAUGGCUUUUUUUAAAUUUUAAGGUUGAACCAUUCUUCAACAACUACACCCCUUUCUCAUCCUUUUUCCUUAAAUCAUGGUCUAGACUUCAGAGUGGACUCUGCAUAAUCUUCAGGUUUUGGGACUUAAUGCAGGGUAGAGCUAAGGAGUAAACCUGUGGACAGGCCAUCUAUAAUCAGUUUGUGAUUAGUGUCAUGACCCAUUAGUCUUUUAUAAGUUGAGGUCAGAAGCUCGUUGCAUGAAUUGAAAUCUACUUUCUUCCCACUUGUUUUCAGAAUGGAGUACAUGACAAAAACUUCAGAUAAAAAUCAAAACUCACAUUAAACUUAUAAUUAAUUGGUCUUGUCUACAGUAGAUGUCAUAAGAUUUCUGGGUUUUCAUUUCCUUUCUUUCUUCACAAUUUUCAUGACACUUAUGCUUCUCCCACCAUUCAAAUGGUUUACUUGGACAUUUUAAUUAGUUUCUUCGAUCUCGUUUGAUGGGUUAUAAUGGGAUAAUUUAGAGAAGCAAAAUGGCAUCUUUCCAUUUCUAAAUUGGAUGCAGUUGUUGCCUCAAUGUUCAUUUUUUCAUCACCAAUUCUGCCAGCAGUAUGCUGGGAGUAACAGUAACUGUUUUACAACUAGUUAAGUAUUCCUUCUUAAUCAACAUUCUGCAUAUACAGGUUAAUCAAUCAUCUGAGAGUUGUUAUCCAGUUGGUUUUUCACAAGAUAAGAUUUUUUAAGACAAAUACUGAGAUGGAGACAGAGAAGAAGAUGCCUAACAGACAAACUGCUUUAUUUUAAUAUUAGGACCAAAGUCCACUCCACAGGAGCUACAAAAGAAAGUAAUAAACCCUCUUAUUCUAGGAUGAUUGUAAUGAGGUAAUUGGACAUCACAAAUAGUCAUUCAAGCAAGUAAAUCAAAGGUUGACAGCUUCUUCAUUUUCUCCAUUUUCCCACUAGAAUCGUGCUUGAAGGAAUUCAACCACCUUCUUGUCCAACUGGAAGGCCGUUGCCAGGAAAUCGGGAUUGAUGGGUGGAUUUGAUCCAAACACUGCAUUGGCUAUGGUGAUUACACCUGGAUUUUGGCUGCUCAGACCAGCAAUGGCUACUGCAUUCAUGUGCCCAAUGUUGAAUUGGAAGUGAAUGAGACCAAUAGGGAACACAAAAACAUCCCCCUUGUUUAGAACUUUGCUAAAGAGGCGGUUUUGAGGUUUGAGGGUUGGAUGUGACAAAGCCAACUAAGAGUGUUCCCUCCAAGACAGUGAGGAUCUCAGUGGCACGAGGGUGAGUGUGAGGAGGGUUUUGACCGUAGGGUGCAUAAUCGAUACGAACCAGUGAUAUCCCAAGAGUGUUAAGUCCUGGUAUUGCAUCAACAUUUACUGUAGUGACAUUUGAGCCCACUCGAUUUGUUGUGUUUCCUGGAAUAUUCAGCCCUUGAUAGAAGAAAUCCUCGGCCACAGUCAGGUUUGGGUUCUUGCAGAACUUUCCAUUUACAAAUACUGCAUUUAAAAAAAGGGAAAAGAAAAGAUAUAUCAUUAGUAUGAAACCACCAUCAAUGGAAAGAUUAAUGAAAGUAGUGAUAAGAUCAUUGGUUACUAAAGAAAUACCAGCAUUCUUGGGUUCAUCAAUGGCAACACAAGUGUCCUGCAGUGGGCUUGGAUCAGAGGCAGAGGCAAGAGAGGAUGCCAAUGCCAUGAGGGCAACAGCUACCAGAAGACUAACACCAUUCUUCAUUGUUAGAGUCCUGUCUUCAACAAUCACAAAUCUUUGUGUUGAGGUGCGGGGUGAGAAAUUUUGCAUGGAAAACAUGUCAAUUUAUAGACGGUCUUCAAUGGGUAGGUUUUCCUUUUUUAUCCUUUUCUUCACUUUCAAAGACAAGUGGUUACACCAGUACAUGCUAAUUUAUGUGGGAUUAGUUAGUUAGUUUAUUGAUCUUAGCUAGAAUAUUCUCUAUGCAUGUGUGGAAAGUGAGGGUCAAUUAGUGGAGGCAGGUCCAAUUUCAUAUCAAUCUGCAUGAUCCAUGCAUUUAUUUUAGUAUUAGUACCCAAACAGUGAAAUAUCUGUAAAGUAGUGUAUAGGCAAGCAACUAGAAGAUUACAGAGUAGGUGCAAGCCUGGACUAUAGAAAUAGAAUAACCUAACCAAUUCAAACCUGGUUACUCAAUGAGGCUUGUGUAGGUUCAGUUUAAAGAAUAUCUAUAUAGGAAUAUUAGUGAAUUUAUACUGCUUUAGUGUAAAUGUAAUGUGACUUACUUUCAUGAAAUAGUUGAUCUCUAUUAUGUAGCCAAGUUCUGAGUUUCUAGCUCAUGUGCCUUCCACUUUGUGAAAAAUCAUUGGAUAAGCUCUGGAUUGCUUUAGUUCAAUGAAACAUUGGGAUGAAUUCAAAGAUUUUCUGCUAUGCUCAUUAGGCUUUCCUCAGUUACAAAAGCUCUGACUAUAAUUUUGAUACUUGCAGCCUGCCAUAUCUGAGCAAUUGGCUCUAAACAUGAGUGAAAUAGCUGCAUGACAAACACCUUUGAACUAGGGCAUUCUUAACUAGUUGUUAAGUUGUCUUAAAGAAUAACAAUCUGUGUUUUCUGGGGAGAAGCAAGAAACCCUGUAUUGGAAAAAUGGCAAUUAAUUAGAUAAAUUCAUCGGAUUAGUCUAUGUUUUAUACAUAAGGUAAGCAGAUACACUUUCCAAGUCUUCAAUGGAUGGCAUUUUUUAAAUUUAAAGGUUGAACCAUUCUUCAACAACUACACCCCUUGCUCAUCCUUUUUCCCUCAACUCAUGGUCUGGACUUUAGAGUGGACUCUGCGUAAUGUUUGGGUUUCAGGACUAAUUCCAGGGUAGAGCUAAGGAGUAAACCUGUGGACAGGCCAUCUAUAAUCAGUUUGUGAUUAGUGUCAUGACCCAUUAGUCUUUUAUAAGUUGAGGUCAGAAGCUUGUUGCAUGAAUUGAAAUCUACUUUCUUCCCACUUGUUUUCAGAAUGGAGUACAUGACAAAAACAUCAGAUAAAAAUCAAAACUCACAUUAAACUUAUAAAUAAUUGGUCUUGUCUACAGUAGAUGUCAUAAGAUUUCUGGGUUUUCAUUUCCUUUCUUUCUUCACAAUUUUCAUGACACUUAUGCUUCUCCCACCAUUCAAAUGGUUUACUUGGACAUCUUAAUUAGUUUCUUCGAUCUCGGUUGAUGAGUUAUAAUGGGAAAAUAUAGAGAAGCAAAAUGGCAUCUUUUUUAUUUUUGAAUUCUCUGCAGUUGUUGCCUCAAUGUUCAUUUCUUCAUCACCAAUUCUGCCAGCAGUAUGCUGGAAGUAACAGUAGUACUGUUUUACAACUAGCUAAGUAUUCCUUCUUAAUAAAAAUUCUGCACAUGCAGGUUAAUCAAUCAACUGAGAGUUGUUAUCCAGUUGUUUUUUCACAAGAUAAAAUUUUUUAAGACAAAUAUUGAGAUGGAGACAGAGAAGAAGAUGCCUAACAGACAAACUGCUUUAUUUUAAUAUUAGGACCAAAGUCCACAACACAAGAGCUACAAAAGAAAGUAAUAAACCCUCUUAUUCUAGGAUGAUUGUAAUGAGGUAAAUGAACAUCACAAAUAGUCAUUCAAGCAAGCAAAUCAAAGGUUCAUAGCUUCUUCAUUUUCUCUAUUUCCCCACUAGAAUCGUGCUUGAAGGAAUUCAACCACCUUCUUGUCCAACUGGAAGGCCUUUGCCAGGAAAUCAGGAUUGAUUGGUGGAUUGGAUCCAAACACUGCAUUGGCUAUGGUGAUUACACCUGGAUUUUGGCUGCUCAGACCAGCAAUGGCUACUGCAUUCAUGUGCCCAAUAUUGAAUUGGAAGUGAAUGAGACCAAUAGGGAACACAAAAACAUCACCCUUGUUGAGGACUUUGCUAAAGAGGCGGUUUUGAGGGUUGGAUGUGACAAAGCCAACUAAGAGAGUUCCCUCCAAGACAGUGAGGAUCUCAGUGGCACGAGGGUGAGUGUGAGGAGGGUUUUGACCAUAGGGUGCAUAAUCGAUACGAACCAGUGAUAUCCCAAGAGUGUUCAGUCCUGGUAUCACAUCAACAUUUACUGUAGUGACACUUGAGCCCACUAGAUUUGAUGUGUUUCCUGGAAUAUUCAGCCCUUUAGAGAAGAAAUCCUCGGCGACGGUCAGGUUUGGGUUCUUGCAGAACUUUCCAUUUACAAACACUGCA
rnacentral:lncRNA from 1 species